GUCCUAGUUUACAUGAAUUAAUAUUUGCAAUGACAAUUAGGUUACUCAUGACAUGAUAAAGAAAAAGUUUUUUUGUGAGGUAAGAUAAGGUUUUAUAUAACUGUUCAUGGGGACCUCCUCAUGGUUGCAGAUACAUAGUUUUACAGUGCUUCAUGAAAUAGUUGCAUAUCACUGUGACACCCCAAAAUUUUUAACCUUGUUUUAUUAGUUAAAUUUUUGCCAGGAAACUUAAACUUUUGUUUUCUGGAUUUUCUUUUGAUUUCAGAACCUUUCUUCCCUUUAUUUUUAUGGAGUUUUACCCCAAGUGAAAACAUUUCAAUUAUUGUUGGAAUUAUUUUUCCUCUUUAGUAAAACAAUUCUUUUAUCAGUGGGAUUAUUUGCAUAAUUUUUCCCUGAGGCCUUAUUUCUGUAAAAAUGAUUUUUUUUAAGCUUCAGGGCCUCUUUUGCACUGCAACCCUUUGAUAAAUUCAUUCAAAAAUUCCACCAAAAUUUGGAGAUGUCAUGUGAUGUUUUUAAAACACUUUUAUGCUAAAAUAUAUUUCAUUCCUUGGAUAUUUUGAGUUCUACACCAAGUUCUCAAAUCUGGUCCAGAGGACAGUUUUGCACUACAACCUAUUUAAAUAUUUCUUUAAAACUUCUACCAAAAUUUUGGGAUGUCAGUAGGAGCAUAUUAUUCCAUUAUAUGCAAAAUCCAGGGAUGUUCUUUGAAAUAUUUGAGUGAAUCAUCCUCUUAUUCAUUCUGGUGCAACUUGGUGAUUUGCACUGCAACCAUCUUCUAACUUGCUCCUCUACCCAUGAGCUUUCUCCUACUUGUAGUACACCUUACCAAACCCUUAAGUCCAAGAGCAUGAACCCAUUGGGAGAAUUUUUUUUUGUCCAUGCAUUGAUGCCAUUUACCUUCUGUCCAGAACUGAAGAUUUGCAAAACUUGCACUAGCAAGUUUCUUCUUUUGGCAAACUAACCUCACCACUCUCUCUUUCACCUAAAGAGACCCCACUCUGGAAGAUUUGACCAUUCCAAGAAAUGCCUAGGUGCAUGUGGCAUUCUGUCAAACACCUUAUGGGUUUUAGUUUGCACUAUGAACUUGCUUCCCUUGCCUAACUACCUUGUCCAAUAAACUCCUAGCUACCCCUAACCUAGGUCUGCUAAUUCCUAGCCUCAUCCGAGGCCUCUAGCUUGCCCUGGCAUUUUGUCGAGCACAUCCCGUGCGUGCUCUGGGCGCGAGCAGAGCACGCGUUUUGCACGUACCGCGCCCGAGCCGCCACGUCGCGCCCCUGGUUUUGCCCACACCACAGAGCCGCGCCACGCACUCUCCCUCUCACCAGAACACGCCAAGCAGCCCUGGUGCCCUGCAGCACCGCCGUUAGAGCCCUUGGCGGCACGCUGGCGUCCGCAGCGCGUCUCUGCCCGGUCGGUGCCGCCCAAGCCUCUCCCGCUCGCCACCUGCCCCUGGAACAGCUCAGCCUCAUCCUCUCGCGUGUCCUCUAGCUCUCGUCGCCGCCACGACGCCCUGCUGCUAUAGAGAGGCGGUUCGCCGGUGAACUUAUCCACGGCCGCCGCAAACCGACCUCGUUACACUAUAAGAAGAGGCCCCGAGAACGUCCCGUUCCACAGGCAGCCUCAAAAUGCUCCCCUAGUUCUCCCGUGGCAGCCAAUCGACCCGGGGAGGUCUUCUUCCCCACCUCCGGCAACAGCAGCCGCCGCCACUGUCCCGGCCAUUCCGGCGCCACCAGAGCCUCCCCCUCUCCACUCUCUUCACCAUGAGCUUCCUCUCCCCCUAGUGAAUCCAUCCCCCUGCUCGAUUUUGAUCGAGACUCACUGCGAGAGAAAAAUCACUUUGCCCGACGACCACCGUCCACUGCGAAGCUCGCCGCUGGCAGCUUCGUCCACCCCAGAGACCGUAUCAACCACCGGAGUGACCGUCUCGAUCCCCUGAACCCGCGAAUGGCCUCCGUUUCCUGAACGGUGCCGCCAUUCGCCCGCGAGCAUCGCCGGAGCUCCGCCUAUGUUCGGUUGGAGGAGGCGACGCGCGCGUGGACUGGUCAAACCUGACCAGUGGGCCAGGCGGGUCCACUGUCAGUGACCCAGUGCCGAUCCACACAGGCAUAAGUGGAAACGUAUUUUUAGAAUACGCCUUCGACAUGGUCAGUUCGAAUCGUUUUCUUUUUAUUCUGUUUUAUUUUAAAAAAAACAGAUUUUGACCACAGCUUUGACUGCCUAUAACUUUUUAAUGAUAACACCAAAUGAAUUGAUUCCUUUUCCUACCUCUCUCAAAUUUAAUCUAGUUUAUUUUAAGAUUUAUUUAAAAAAAUUCAAACAACUUUUUGUGCUGUUUUGAAUUUGUGUGUUGAUUCAAAUUUUAUUUAAAAUAGGACUUUGGAGAGUGAGAAGCAAACUUUCAAAAGUUUUGGAGUGCACCCUGCCUUUCCACAUAUUGAAGGCAAGCAUUCUGAACCCUGGCAUAAUAUUUUGCAUGCGUUGUUUGACACGAUUAUGACACCACCUCAGUACGUGGAACUCGUUAGUUUAUGUGGUGAUGUGAUCGUUUGCAUAAAUGCUUAUUGGAAAUUUCCUUGCUGUUGGAAAUGGACAUGCUUGUGAUAGUGAUCAUCCUCGUAUGCCUUUCAUGCCUACCGGAAGGAAAACGGGAAAGUCUCUGUCUUGGGUAGACCCGAGCUUGUCCCUAGUUCCUCGUCGAGACGAGUGUGUCUGGCAUGGCAUGAGGGGUAUGAUGAGUGGUGAUUCUGUCUGUUGGAUGAAAUAUAUUCGUUAUGCUAAUCAUGCAGUGAACACUUAAAAACCUCCUGAGUCGGCCAUAGAUCGAGUCUUGUUCCAGUAACCCCCAUACUUGUUUCGUACUACCACUUGUCUCUACAACAAGUAGAGUACGGUUCACUAAGUCUUCAACCCCUUUCUAGCACACACCAUAUAGAGAGGCCAUGGUGGAAGAUACCGGUUGUAGCUGGUAGGCAGGCCACCUGGUCCGGGGGCAUGGGUGUUUCCGGUUGAGACCGAGAGGGGAGGCCACCCCUUAGAGCGCGCGAUAUAAAUUUGAUCCCAUGCUACGCGAGGUUGUAGCAUCCCCACUUAGAGUUUUGCUUAACAAGUGUUGUGGGUGAUUCCAGACACCGGUAAGUUAAGCUGGUGUGUGCAAGUUAGGUGUGUUUUCAACUAAAAGGCCGUAGACGGAAUUAGUCCCGAUGGACUAAAGGAAUCCGUUACUCGUGGGUAAAGAGUACACCCUCUGCAGAGAUUAAACCUAUUCGAAUAGCCGUGUCCAUGGUUAAGGAUUACAGUCUGGGAUGGGUCAAGUGUCGGUCUUAGUGUCGGUCUUCGGAGGAGAAACUGUUAUACCAGAACUGGGAUCACGACUUGAGACUUGUAAUGAUUAUGAUUAUUAUUUUGUUGUGGACUAACCCGUUAUGUAAUUGGCAUUAUCGAAUAUCCCUGGGAUGGUGCUACCUCCUGGAUAUUCACUGUGAUUAUUUAUAAGCCCUUUAUGUGGUGUCACUGAGACGCCCGACUAUGGCAUGCUUGUUACUUAUUUACUUUAUAAGCCCUUUAUGUGGUGUCGCUGAGACGCCCGACUGUGGCAUGCUUGUUACUUAUUUACUUUAUAAGCCCUUUACGUGGUGUCGCUGAGACGCCCGACUGUGGCAUGCUUAUUAUUUACUUAUUUUGUAAGCCCUUUAUGUGGUGUCGUUGAGACGCCCGACUGUGGCAUGCUUGUUAUUUACUUAUUUUAUAAGCCCUUUAUAUGGUAUCGCUCAGACGCCCGACUGAGGCAUUUCUCUUUGUUUACUAACCUUUCGAGGCGUCGCUUCAGACACCCGAUCGGUGCAUUUUAUUAUUAAUAUGUUAUUGCAUAUUCAUAAAUAACCUGCUUGCAUGCAUCAGAGUUUUAUUAUCUUUUGUGACUAACGUCGUGAACUUAAAAUAUUUCAGAACAUCGUUGUUAUAUUAUACAUGUAUUCAUAAUGUUUGCGAGUACAUUCAAAGUACUCACUGGCUUGUCCCUGGCUAUUGUCUUGGCCAGAUUUCUUGCGCGGAGAAGAGCGACUGUGAUGAUAGCUCUGGAACCUAAGCUAUGGUGAUAGCAGCCUCGCGAAGAUAGGAGUUAACCUGGUCAGCUGUUCCUGUGGGAAAUGGAGUCCCAUAGACGCUGAUGACCCACAAACUGCUUCCGCCAUCAACCACGAGAAACCAUUUGUUGUACUCACAGGCCAUAAUGAUCUUGUGCUACAUAUUUUGUAUUUUGCUUGGAAUUCUGUAACAAGUUGGUGCCUCAUCAGCUAACAGUAAUCCUGGGGCUCGUGAGCACAAAGGCCAUUUUCUGGGAAAUUAUUACCCGGAAAACCGGUCGCCACAAUCACCAUGUCUAAAAGAAGAAUCAUGACGGACACAACUUCAAGAAAUUCUUCUUGUCAAAUAACAUGAUUUGUAUAUAGCUCAUAGAGGAUAUAACUUGUUGGUAGAAUUUAAUAUUGUGACACACUCGCCAUCUUUUGUGCCAGCAUUAUUUGGGUGAUGAUUUAAUAUCCAAAAGCAUACAGGUAGUUAUGUGCAAUGAUAUUCUUGUGAAAAUAACUUCCAUAGUGUAUACUUGCAUAUAUGUAUUGCUCUAUUGUAUUCUCACAGUUAAUCCUUUUUCUUAAUUUUCUGUUUGUUUAUUUAUGUUUAGAGCAAGAUUAUAAAUUAAGCUGAGCAUAAUUUCUGCAGAUUAUAGAUGGCCCAAUAAAGACAAAGGGCGAAGGUACAAACUUCAAGUAAUUCUUCUUGCCACAUAGGUUUUUCUAAUUGUGCGAGCAUACCAGUUGUAACUGCCUUCAGUCAUCUAUGUCAGUAGUAUUUUGAGAAGAAUUUCAUUACAAAAUGCAACGACUCAAAUAAUCAGAUUGUUCAUGAUGAUUCCUAAUUGUAUAACCAAUAAGCUUAACACACCUUCCUAUUUUAGAGUUGUUAUCUUAAUAAGUAUAUACUAUAUGUUAUUAAUGUUGUUGUUGGGUGAAGAACAUUUGUUGCUCAUGGUUAGAAUGCAGAAUUUUCUUAACACAACAACCUAGAGCGAAUGUGGAGGCCAAUAUAGAUUAAAACCAUUAAUUCAUAUUAAAAUGGUCAUGACUUCUUAUUUUUAUUUGACAUAAAUGUUUGUGACUUGUUUGAAUUAAUGUGUUCUGCAAUUAUAUGAUACUUCCAUAUUCAUACUAUUUUUAUGAAAUGUGCAGCUAGUUUGUCAACAGGAGCACGAACAACCACAACUUCUACAAAGCUUCCACAUGGUUUCAUUUAGUAUCAUGCAAAAGACAUUGAGACAAUCAAGAUUACUUGAGCAACCUGAAUUAUGUUAGUUGUUACCUGCUUUCAAACGAAUGUGUCCUCUCAUAGUAUGCAUGUACUUCUGUUGUUGAGGAAUUUAUAUCAUUAGACAGUUCUGUUUUUCAUAAUUAUUGAUUAAUGGGUACAUACCUUCAAUCCUGGAAGAUUAUCAGAUAGCCAGCCAAGGAAGCGAUUUGUUUAUUGAAUUGGGCAUAAUAGGAACAUUUUUACAUUCAAAGGAACAUCAUAGGAAUAAUUUGGUAUUUCAAGAAGAUUUUCCAGUCCCCUGCCCCAACCUACUGGAGACAGUAUGAGUGGUGACAGACACAUUUGUAACAUACGAGCAAGCCAGUGCAGCAGCUUCAGUCACAUGCUCUGGAAGCCCAUUUUGGGUCUUCCUUUAGAAGGCUCAACAAGGCCAUCAUCACACCAUUCUAGUUAGUUACUUCUGCAACGAUAUAUGUCCGUAAGAACAUAAGAAGCUAGGGUUCUAGUAGACUUAUAAUGCUCUAACAGCACCACGUUGGAUAUGCCCGUACAAAUAAAAUAACUUGAAUCGAGUCUAUAUGUAAGAACAUAUCUUGUCAUCAGUCAACUACUAGUACAGUAAGAGCAUCAAAGAGGAAUUCAUUUCAUAUAGAAUAGUCGCAAUCAUAUACUUUUGUUCUGCACAUACUGCUCAUUAUCAUGGACAAUGAUGUAGCUAGCUAAAAGGGGGCAUGUGGCUAUAAUGUAAGCAGGGAGGCUCCAGGGACGAGCUCAACAGACAGAACUAACCUGCUCUUGCAAGGAACCAGUAAGCCUUGCUACAUUGUCACCUGCAUGCUGCAUGGCAUCGCGUCCACCAGCUAUUGUGGUAUGUCGCAACUCUUUCCUCACAUCUUUUCACCGAAGCGAUCGUUGGCGAAUUCUAAUCUUUCUGGAACAACAUUCCUAAUUCCCUGCACUAGAAGGUCAUCAUGAUGCAUCGGUACAUCGGAAUUCCGGACACAUUAACAAAAUCUUUGCCCAAACCAAAUUAAGGGGGAAAUGAGAAAUGAAGGAGAGAACCAAAUAGUAAGUUAGGUUAUAUAUAUGUAUGUAUGUAUCUAUAUAUAUAUAUAUAUAUAUAUAUAUAUAUAUAUAUAUAUAUCGUUCAUAGUAAAAACAACCGGAAGUGUAUCCAUGUUGUUUGCUUAGGUGGCUGAAAUCAAGGUCCUAUUCACUGGGAUGAUAAACCUACUAAAUAAAAGGGUUCUCAAAGUCCCCUCAGAACUAGAGUCGAGUAACACAGUCAUGGUCCCAUGGGGUUUCAGGAUAACGACAUGAAAAUGUGGUUAACACAAUCAGCUCUCUCAUUAAGAUUUGUCUUAUUUUUAUCACUACGGGAAAAUUCAUGUUUGCAGAGUGUUAGUGUCUUUGUUGAGUGCAUUAUGUUGGGCACUCGGCAAACAUAUCUUUGCCGAGUGUAAUCCUGAAACAUGGUAAACAUGUGCUUUGCCCACUGUCGUGGAAAAAAACUCUGGCAAAAAAGUUAUAGUUACUAAAAGGUGCUUUGUUGAGUGUCUUGGAAAUAACUCUCGGCAAAAUAGUGGAACUCGGGCAAAGAUGUGCUUUCCCGAGUGCUACACUCGGCAAAAGGGGGUAUGCACUGUGCUCACUGUUUUGGCUGUCGAGAUUGCAUACAACCUUGGAUGAAGAUGAUCCAAAAAUCGAAGUUUUUUAUUUCGACAAGAUGAAUAGUUUUCAUGUUGAGGACCUUUUCAUUUUAGGCCAUAUUAUUUACACUUUUUGCCAUGCCAAAAUAUGGUCCCAAAUGAAUAAGGCAGUGGUCAUAUUUAUUGCAUAGUUUAUGACUAUGGUCCUAACCUUGGCAUUUAUGUGCAUCUUGCCAUUACAAACAAUUUUGCCAAAUAGAGAUUCCAACAUUUUGUACAAAAAUAAUUUUUUUAUUUUUGAAGCAUAAAAAAUUGAUACUUUUGUGAAGCUGGUAAAAAAAAUAGAGUGCAAAAUGGCAUCACUCCAAUUUUCACAAAAAUAGACCAUGCUUUUUUAGAAAAUUCCCAUUUCUUGUGGAUUUUCUAGAUUUCUAGCUACUUUCACACAUUUAUAUGACUUUAUUAUGAUUCCGCAAAAUUAAUUCAAUUUGAACUGUAAUUGUGUGAUAGCUCUGUCCUAGAAAUUUGCAAAAAAUACUUUUAAGUACACAAGUAGUCAUUACCUGGAAAACCCACUUAGAGUUUGAGAGAUUCAACCCCUUACAUGAGUAGCCAUGCCGGCCACUUUCACCCCGUUUGGGAAAAAAUGAAACCAAAAGGAUACAAGUUCAAAAAAUGCAAUCCUUUCAUAUGAACUCCUUUUAUCUGUACUAGUGUGGAUGAAAAUACCAAACUUUCAAUAUGACAGUUUUCAAAGAAAAAUAUCCUUCACAAAUGGGCUAUCCUCUAUGAACAUUCAUGGCUUUCAAGUCAAUGACCAAGGUGAUGACCAUAUUCAUUGCAUAGUUUAUUAUAAUGUGCCUAAAUUAGACAUAUAGGUGAACCUUGCCAUUACCAAUAAUGUUGCAAAAUAGAAUUUCCAACUUUUUUGUUCAAAAAAAUCAUUUUCUAUUUCAGUAUAAAAAAUGGGUGUUUUUUGUGAAGCAGGUACCAAAAACAGGGUACAAAAUGGCACCACUCCAAUUUUCACAAAAAGUAGACCGUAUUUUAUGGACAAUUCCCAAAGUGUGUAGAUUUAUCUCUUAAAAUUUAACAAUUGGUGUAUUUUUUAAUAUUUAAUGAAAAUAAUAUAUGUAUUUUUAAUAGGAAGGGCGGAUAUUUAAAGGAUAGCAUAGACAUCUGAGGGUGUACGUUAAAGCGUUGGAGGUACCUUUAUGUGUCAGUUUACGCCAUGCUCAACCGGCAAUGUGGUAGUAUUAAUCAGUAUAUACUUUUGAUUGUAAAAGAAAUCAAUAUAUAAUUUGUUUGGAUUAUUUUAGUUUGCAGGGCAAACUUAAAAUGGAUUUAUUUAGCCUAUUUUUGUGAAAUCACUAAUUAGGAGGUACCUUUUGCAAAGGUCACACCCCACUUUCAUUAGUGCUGACAGGUGGCACAUGGCAUGUGUGUCCCUUGUCGCAACAUGGGAGUUUCCCCUUUUUGUAGAUUCAUUUUUUAAAAUCUUUUAUCUCUUGAACCGCGCAUUCAAAUCACGACCCAUUUUUAUCGUUGGAUUUCUCCCGCCGAGAUCUUUGAAACUAGUCACAUGUUAAUAAGUUCCGAUGAACUUUUUCUUCACGAAAAUCAAACAAAAAAAUAUGAAAACAAAAAAUACAGAAAGCAAAAAAAGAAAAAAAAACUAAAAUCAAGGUUGUGCUUUUUUACAUUUUUGGGAAGAAAAAGUGUGCUUUCCCCUUUUUGGGAAACACGGUUUUGCUUCUUGUGCAAGCAUAGGUCGUGCUUUUCCCUUUUCAAGAAGCAUAGGCCAUGCUUCUCUUGUUCUCCGGGAAGCACAUAUGUGCCUUUCCUUUCGGGGAGCACAGUUUUCUCUUUCGGAAAAGCAUAGAUGUGUUUUUCCCUUUUCAGAGAAGCACUACCUAUGCAUCUCACCGAAGAACAUGCUAUGCUUUUCCUUUUUUGAGGAAGUAUAGUUGUGCUUUCCCUUUUUUACAGGGUAGCAAAAAUUGUGCUUUCUUCCUUCUCGGGAAGCUAUGCUUCCCGCGGAAAAGCACCGCCUCAUGAAAAAACAUAAAAAUGUUUUUUUUUCAUCAAAACCUAGGGAAAACCAAGAAAAAAAAGAAAACAUGUGUAAAAAAAUCUAAGGGUGAACCCAGUGCACGACACGUGGCGGCAAUUGGAUGCAUCACUUGAUGCGCUCUCAGGUCCUAAAAGUAGCCUAUGUGGAAUCCCCCGAUGAGAUACCCGUUAGAUAGUUGGAGACCUCCUUGCAUCAAAUAGGAGGGUGGCCACAAAGGGGGCGCAUCCUGGUGGGCCGGCCCAGCAGCGUGCUACACUCUAGCGCAAAUUGGUCAAAAUCUAAAAAGUGAUGUGUGAUCAAAGCGCGCAUGGCUAGCCACUCAAGCUAAUGAAACUCUGCUAACUACUAGGCCGUGUUGAACUUUAAAAAGUACUAUAUGAUACCCCGCGCGUUGUUGCGGGAACUCUUAGUACUUUACAUGAAGAAGCUUGUGGAGUGAAAAUAAUUAAAUGAUGAAAAUAUACACUUUUUAAAACCUUUGGUGGUACUUGUAGGAACAUUAUGGAGUGAAAAUAAGUUAACAAUUAAUAUAUUUUUAAACCUUUGAUGGUAUUUUGAGAAUCAUGAGAGAAAUGGUAUAUUAGGGUAUCUCUGUAUUUAUGUAGUUAGAACGCGCCACCCUUCAGCGGGGAAUUAAAUGCAUCGCUAACAUUAAAAAAUAGAGCAUAUAGUUUGAUGGGAAUUUCACUGAAAACAUGGCCAGCCAAGUCUAAAGCUGAAUAUUACACUGAACAGAGAGCCCAAUCAUUGCCUAACACAAAAGCACUAAUGCUUGUUGAGUUAUUUGUAAUAUAGGAGCAGAAUCCCUUCGAAAGAGAAAUUCCAAAAUAUUAAAAAGAUCCAACAGUAAGACAUCCAUACACCUUACAGUUUAUACAUGGAGACAAGCUACAUACCAAUCGCUAAAAAGGUGAAUAUAGAGUCAUGCACAUCAGGCCCUCAUGGCAUAGAUGCAUUUCUUCCACUAAAAGGACAUGCCUUAAGGGGAUUAGUGUAGGUGUGAAGAUCUGGACAUAUAAAUGGCAGGAAUGACUUCAUCUUCCUACCCCUUCUAUGGAAACAGAGGCCCGACUUCAAUUGGGAUCCGUUUGACAUGUUGCUCCCUCUUCAUAAAAUGGAGCUGAUCGUUAUCUAAAAGCAAGCUAGGUAGAUUUGGCAUGGCCAGCAGUAGUACUUGCUACUUUGCCAGUUGUGAUGCAUCAUAUGAGAAGGCAAGGAAGGUUGUGUGCUGCCAUGGCCGGACCCUUUGGGGUGCCAAAUGGUGUUCAAAUUUAUAGUAGGUUCCAUUUUUGGUGGGAAUCCAAGGAAAAGAAGGCAAUGGAGUAAGAUGACAACCCAUUCCCAGACUGCCACUCAAAAUCAAAAUGAAGAGGGUAAAUAAAUGUACUUACUAAGAACACACGGAUAACAUAUAGCUGGCUACAGAAACAGCCAAACUUUGUAAGUCCACGGAAAUUGAGGAAAUUGUGAAAACUAUUUCUGUGAGUAGAAGGAAACGUAGUCCAGUUACCUUUCAUGGUAAUGCUUCUCUUGAGACGAUUCUUAGGAUCCCUGAAGAAUGUCUUCUGUUUUCCUGAAGCGGGAUUCCUUGCUAGAGCAGUACCUUUUGUUCUCUUGAGUUAAGGCAGAGUGGGAAAUACAUCACUAUCAGCUCUAGUUCAAUUGCUUGUAUUUUACAAAAACAUACAAUUGAAACAAUUAUCAGGAAAAGUUAUUACCUUAAUCGCAGCAACUCUUUGAGCAUGCAAUUUGGCGUCUUGGUGUAUAAUCUUCAUGUGUAAACAAUUUGUUUUAGCAUCUAGACUCUAUAAUUAAAAUUAAUAAGUUCUUUAAAAGCCAAAGGCAACUAUAUAGACCAAUACAAUUAAACAAAGGCAGCGGGUAGGUUUCAAAUUUGAAGUAGCAGGGCUCCAUAGUUAACUCUCCAUCAUGCAGGCAUUUAGUGUAGUAGAUACAAGACAUACGUGUGACAGAUUGCAUAUGAACAACAUUUAUUAGUAGGAAAAUUGUACUACCGUAUAUUGCACUAACACUAACUAUAUGAAGAAGCCAAUAGCAUGUAAUUUCAGCUUGCAAGAAAGCGCCACUUACUCUUAUAGAUCGGCUAAUCUACAUGGCAACUUCCGGGGAUGGUGAUGGAUAAGUACAGUUGGAUCGUGUUUAGGUGUUAAUCUAUUUUUAUAAAAAUCAUCUUCCUUUACUUUCAAGGGAGAACUGUAGAGGGGAAAGAACAACAUUUUUUAAUCUAAUGAUCCAUCACUUAUUCACAACUAUUGCAAUAACCAAGUAUGUUGGAUGCAAGGAGGAGGUGAGAGUGCAGGCAACAUGUAUGUCACAUCAUGCGAACAGGUGGGGAUCAUGUUAAGUCAAUGCAGAAGGAUGCGUUGUGUGUCCGCGCACCGUCAACACCGCCGAGUAAACAGUAAACUAAACCUGGGGACCAGCGCUCUUGACCUUCCCAGCUACUUCUGGCAUAGGGGGAAUAUUUGAGGAUUUAUAGUGCUGAGAUUAGGGUUNNNNNNNNNNNNNNNNNNNNNNNNNNNNNNNNNNNNNNNNNNNNNNNNNNNNNNNNNNNNNNNNNNNNNNNNNNNNNNNNNNNNNNNNNNNNNNNNNNNNNNNNNNNNNNNNNNNNNNNNNNNNNNNNNNNNNNNNNNNNNNNNNNNNNNNNNNNNNNNNNNNNNNNNNNNNNNNNNNNNNNNNNNNNNNNNNNNNNNNNNNNNNNNNNNNNNNNNNNNNNNNNNNNNNNNNNNNNNNNUCCUCCCGAAGCUUCCUAGGUUUCUUCUGGUCCAAGAAAAAUCAUCGUAAAGUUUUAUUCGUUUGGACUCCGUUUGAUAUUCCUUUUCUGUAAAACUCAAAAACAAGAGAAAAAAACAGAAACUGACACUGGGCUCUGGGUUAAUAAGUUGGUCCCAAAAAUAAUAUAAAAUAACAUAUUAAUGCAUAUAAAUCAUCCAAAAUAGAUAAUAUAAUAGCAUUGAACAACCAAAAAAUAUAGAUACGUUGGAGACGUAUCAGGAUCAUGUUAAGUCGAUGCGAAAGGAUGCAUUGUGUGUUCGCACACUGGAUGCUUGUAUUUAUAUGGCUCUAUCAGCGUCGCCGAAUAAACUAAAUCUGGGGACCGGUGCUCUUGACCUUCCCAACUACUUCGACUGGAAAUCAGAUCCUCCAUGCCAAAUAAGAAAGACCAUUCAGGUCGUGCUGAUUGAGAGGAAAGAGACCACUCACCUCCGACAAUGGCACGUGUGGCUCGCCUGAAGGUCCUUGGGUUGAAUCCACGGUGUUGGGCUAGCGUAGCACCCAUUGGCGGCAAUCAUGGGGCUCCAAGAUGGCGUCACCAUGUAGAUGUCUGGUGUUGUUGGCCAUAGACGGUUUUGUCAAAGGCGACGCAUUAUGGAAAGAUGGAUAGAUGAAAGAGGGGAGGAGAAGAACCUGGAAGACAAUAGAUAUUUAUUGGUGAAGGGGAGAUGAACGGAAUCAUCGGGCGAAGAGGUGAUGGCUCGUGUCCGCAUUAGUAUUUUCCCCGAAGAGGAAGGGAUGAUGCAACACAGCUACGGUAGGUAUUUCCCUCAGUGAUGAGACCAAGGUUAUCGAACCAGUAGGAGAACCAUGCAACACUAUGUAAACGGUACCUGCACACAAAGAACAAAUACUUGCAACCCGACGCGUAAGAGGGUUGUCAAUCCCUCCCGGGUAAAAGAUAGAUUGGUUUCUAGUAGAUUGGAUAAAUAGAUCUCGCGGAAACCCAAAAUAAAAUAAAUAACAAAAAAUUGCAUCAAGGUAUUUUUGGGUUUUUAGAAUAAUAGAUAUCUAUACCUACUAAUAAAAGAAAUAGGUAUUCUUCGUCCGUCAUGCUAUUUUGUAGAAAACCCCCUGAUGUUUCUGACAUUAAACCCGCAGUACAUAUCAAGUGCUUUUUAAAAUACUCAUAAUUUUAAACCAUAACUCCAAAUUUAACAUAUUAUAUAUGGAAUUUAAUUAGAAAAUUAUUUAGAAUCUAAAUAUGAUGUUAUUUUACCUAUUAACAAUUUUUAAAAUAAACUAUCUAGGCUGCAAUGUUAAUCAACAAUGCAUUAUCCGUCUUUUUUUCAUACCGGUAUUGAUUUAGAUUGGGGAUGAAAACCUCAGCAAAAUCAGGAUUGGACAUCAGAUUGAAGAUAAAUUUGUUAGAGACACCGAAUAAAUAAGGACAUGCAUGACAAGAAAUAAAAAGAUCCAAUAAAGAUGGGAUGUCCGCUAUAAAAAUAAAUAAAAGAGAAAAUGCAGAGGAGAUCCGAUAAAGAUGAGAUGUUGCGCUAUUCUCCUAUAUAUAAGAAGAGUAAAAGGAGGACAUGCAUGAAAAAAGGUAAAAAGGAGGCAUGCAUGAAAAAAAUACAAGUUUUAUAAGAAAUAAAUAGUGAUGAAACAGGGACCAAUACCUAUGACAUGUAUGGCAAGAAAUAGUGAUGAAAUAGGGGCACAAGUACCUGAGUCAACAGGAGACCAUAAAAAAUGUUGUUUUCCAGACCAAAAAAACCUAUUUUAUGAUUAAAAAAUCUUGUACCUUUUUAACUCUUCAUGUAUUUAAGAAAUAGCUACAAAUUCUCGGAUUACAAAACAUUUUUUGUAAAUUAAGAGUGUGUGGUACUUUUUUCCCGUUGCAACGCACGGGCCUUUUUGCUAGUGAAAAUAAAAGAGGCAAAUAAUAGAUCGGAAAGCAAAUAUGAUAAAGAAUAGACCCGGUGGCCGUAGAUUUCACUAGUGGCUUCUCUCCAGAAAAAUAGCAUACAGUGGGUAAACAAAUUACUGUUGGGCAAUUGAUAGAACUUCAAAUAAUUAUGACGAUAUCCGGGCAAUGAUCAUUAUAUAGGCAUCAUGUCCUAGAUUAGUAGACCUACUCCUUCCUGCAUCUACUACUAUUACUCCACACAUCGACUGCUAUCCAGCAUGCAUCUAGUGUAUUAAGUUCAUGGAAAAAUGGAGUAAUGCAAUAAGAAUGAUGACAUGAUGUAAACAAGAUCUAUUCAUGUAGGAAUAGACCCCAUCUUGUUAUCCUUAAUGCAACGAUCAAUAUGUGUCUUGCUGCCCCUUCUGUCACUGGGAAAGAACACCGCACGACCGAUCCCAUCACAAAGCACCUCUUCCAUGGCAAGAAAAAUCGAUCUAGUCAACCUAACUAAACAAAAGAUUUGAAGAAGAAUACGAGGCUAUAAGUAAUCAUGUGUCUAAGAGAUCAAAACUCAAAUAACUUUCAUGUAUAAAAUAGAUCUGAUCAUAAACUCAAAGUUCAUCGGAUCCCAACAAACACACCGCAAAAAGAGUUACAUCAAAUAGAUCUCCAAGAGACCAUUGUAUUGAGAAUCAAAAGAGAGAGAGGAAGCCAUCUAGCUACUGCCUACGGACCCAUAGUUCUACAAUGAACUACUCACGCAUCAUCGAAGAGGCACCAAUGAGGAUGAUGAACCCCUCUGUGAUGGUGUCUAGAUUGGAUCUCAUGGUUCCGGAACUUGCGGCAGCUCGAAUUGUGUUUCGUCGACUCCCCUAGGGUUUUUGGAUUUUCGGGGUAUUUAUAGAGCAAAAAGGUUGUGCGGGAGGGCACCGAGGUGGGCACAACCCACCAGGGCACACCUGGGCCCCCAGGCGUGCCCAGGUGGGUUGUGUCCCCUGGGGGCACCCAUCUGGUACUUCUUUGGCCCAAGUUGUUCCGUCUGGUAUAGAAAAAUUCUCCAAAAAGUUUCAUUGCGUUUGGACUCCGUUUGGUAUUGAUUUUCUGCGAAGUAAAUAACAAGCAAAAAAUAACAACUGGCACUGGGCACUAUGUCAAUAGGUUAAUAAAAUGAUAUAAAGUUGCUAUAAAAUGAUUGUAAAAUAUCCAAGAAUGAUAAUAUAACAGCAUGGAACAAGCAAAAAUUAUAGCUAUGUUGGAGACGUAUCAAGAGGCAAUAAGAGGAAGGCGCAGCAAUCAGUUCGACAGUAGUAAAAAAUUACACGAUUCGUUUCGUUGAAAAGGGAAAAAGGAAGCAUUGGUGACGUGGCAGAUUUUCUUACGUGGAUGGCUGCAUGUUGAUUGCUGAUGUGGAUAGGCUACAUGUCAAGAGAAAUAUGGUACUGGGAUGAACUAUUUAGGUAUUAUAGAUGCGCAACAUCACAUCUAAACUCUUUAUGAAAUUACAAAACACGAUGGUUUUUAAAAUGGAUAUAUUUUGGAACCCAAUUUUUUUAAAUUUAUGAAUAAAUUUUUGAAAACUUGAACAAUUUCUUGAGUCUAUGAACAAUUUUUUGAACACGAACUUUUUUUCAAAAUUUCAAAACGCAAUUACUUUUUUAAUGCAACCUUUUUCAAAAUUCAAAAACAUGAUUGUUUGUAAAGUGAAUAUGUUUUUAAAAUUCUAGACUAAAUUUGCAAGUUGAAUAUGUUUUGAGAAACACUCGAAAUUGUGGACGUUUUCUAAAACGUCAAAGAACUUUGAAAAACAUCAAACAUUUUUCAAAGCACGGAUUCUGGGGAAAAAACAAAUUCCGAACAUCUUUUAGAAAUUUUGAAUUUAUGAAAAAAGAAAAAGAAACAGAAAAUGAAAAAGAAAGAAAGCAAGGAAAAGCAGUGAAGAAAUAAAACAGAAAAAGGGAAAAAACCUGAAAAUAGUGGUAAAGACUGAUCCUAGCUACUUGGGCUAGUCCAUCUAUGGUUUACUCGCUGCUCAUUUCGGAGAUUUCUUUUAGGGGUAAAACCAAGUUUUAUACAUCAAACACCAUAGAGUGUGGGAUAGAGUUUGGGUCAUGGCAUUUUCCAAAGCAAACAUUGCGUCCCAGACCUAACGAAAGAGAAAACCUGCCUAGAUUAUGUGCUUCGACAUUUACAGGAUGAUCUUUAGAUAAAAAAAUACAAUGAAAUAAAUACGGUUGCAACUUGAUCUCGUUGAUAAUGGCUCGUUUCCACAUAGUUUGCUCACAUUUUUGAGAGAAAAUUUAGCCUUGAUGGGCUGGGAAAUUGGGCCAGCCAUCCUCGAGUGUGACUGGCUUGACUUUGUCUAGUAUAAAGCCCAUCACGUUGCCCAAGAGCCCACCCUUAUCUAUUUUUCUACAGGACCCACAUAUGUUUGGUUCCUUCAGCACGAUGGGCCACCUCCCAGCCUCCCUCGCCCGCUCGACAGCUCCCCCACCAAUAGAGUUAGGCCCUCGACCCUCCCCCACCCCAAGGUUGCGCGCAUGUCCCUUCCCGACAUCUCUUCCACACGGCCUCGUCCCACCCCAUGUUCUCCCCCAAGUGCUUUGUCGAGUGUCAUGGAAAAAUAUUCUUGGCAAGAUAGUGGAACUCACGCAAAAUGUGCUUUAUCAAGUGCUACACUCGGCAAAAGGGGGUAUGCAGGGAAGCAAAAUCGUGCUUUUUUCCUUCUCGGGAAGCUGCGCUUCCCGUGGAAGGCUUCAUCAAAAACCAGAAAAAAAGAUUUUUUUUUUCAUCAAAACCUAGGGAAAAUAAAAGAAAAAAAACACGUGUAAAAAAUAAAAUCUUAAGGGUGUACCUGCACACGACAUGUGGCCGCAGUUGGGCACAUCACUUGAUGCGCUCUCAGGGCCUCAAAGUAACCUCUGCAGGAACCCUCGACAAGAAACCCAUCAGACAGUUGGAGUCCCCCUUGCGUCAAAUAGGAGUGUGGCCACAAGGGGAGCGCGUCCUGGUCGGCCGGCCCAGUAGCCUGUAGCACUCUACCGCAAAUUUGUCAAAAUCUAAAACAUGACGUUUGAGCAAAGCUCGCAUGGCUAGCCAGUCAAGCUGAUGAAACUUUGCCAACUACUAUGUCGCGUUGAUCAGUAAAAAUUAUGUGCAACAUCACAUAUGAAAAAAAAUUGGAAUUUCAAAACACGAUUGUUUUUAAAAUGAACUAGUAAAGUGGCCCGCUCGAUGUGCGGGCUAGAUUUUUAAGUUUUUUUUAAUAAUAUCAUAUUGUUUGAUUUGGCUAAAGAAAAAUUGGAACCCAAUAUGACGACUUUAUUGUGCGGGCUCAAUCUUUGAAUUGUCUAUUAUGUUUUAUGAUUGAAUUUCUUAUCUGUAGUAAGUCAAUACAUAAUUAUGACGACUUUAUUGUGCGGGCUCAAUCAAUAUUAUUAUUUACUGUUAUUCUUCUUAUUUUUAUUGUUAAAAAAACAAUGUUAAAGUCAACCCAUUUGAAAAAAACUAAUUUAAUGUAAGUAUAGUAUCUAAAGUCCUAGUAUAGUAAUUUCAUUUUAAUUUAAUUUUAUUGUAUUCUUCCAUUUUGAAAAUGUAUUUUUAUUAUGAAUCUAGCACUUUAGUUAAAAUACAAAUAAAACUACUACAUUACUGAUCCCAAAAUUAAACAAAAAUGUGUACAUAAACUUGUCUUUAUCAUCGAUGAAUUACAACCAGAUCAUAUGUUUAAAUAAUGGAUAUUUAUAUUAUUAAUCAACCAAGCAUAGUUCUUUUGAUCUCGUAGAUUGUGAUUUCCCAAUAGUGUCUUGUCUUUUUGUUUAUGUGCAAAUAAUAGUUCACCUAUCAUAUUUUACGAGAAUGGGAAACAAAUAUAAGAAAUAGAACUGAAAGAAUUAUAUGGACGUCUAUUCUUGGAAAAUUGUUUAUGGUGUCACCAUCUCGUUCACGUGUGAGUAUGCAAUCUAAUUUCUAACAUGGCAUUCUUUCAUCCGUGAAGAAAUUUCAAGUUAUCACAACGCGACAUGAGUUCGAUAGAAUAUUAACUCAUUCGAAAAAAAAGAUAUGUACAUACAAAACUAAUGAAGUAACUUCAGUAAAAAUUAAUAUGUUACCCAAGAUUUUGAGGGACUGUGAUUUUGAAGGGGUAUUACAUUUUUGUAAUGUUAACUUGACACAUUGGUGAGAAACACAAUUCGAAUAGAAUACACUAAAGCUGAGAAAACAGAACUUUGUUGAACAAUAAUUAACCGGCUAAGAACUUACAAUGUAUCAUGCCUUUGCUGUUAACAACUAUAUGCAGCAGUAUUUUUUUUAUAUUUAUAAUUAUCACUCAAACUAACUUUUUAGAAAGCAUACUAAUUAGUUAGAUAUUCAGGGAUGCAUUGAUAACAGUAAUCGCUAUCGUCUAGCCUUGCCUCCUGUCUGAUGCACUACAAGCAAAGGAUUCAAAACUACGUUUUCCUGUAAUGUAAAACAAUAAUACUUCAUGGAGAUCAUGUUUGCAUGUGCAUAUGGAAUUCAUCAAUAGUAGGUAGAAAAGUCCUAGCUAGCUUAGCCUAGCUUAGGAUAACGCCCUGGCAUCUAAACUGCUUCAUAUAUGCAAUCCAAUUGUAUGGGUCAAAUAUACAAAACCUGAAGCUCAUGGUCUAGAUGUUUCAUUGAUAAUAUCAUUUCCACCAGACUGGCGACCGAUUAUACAGUAGUCUACCUGUAUUGUUUAACACUGAGAUACCGCAUCAGCCAAAUCAUAGCACCUGAGGUGCCUCUUCUUGUGGACGGUGAGAGCAUAUCUGUAAUAAUCAUCCUUUGUAUAACAUUAUUUAUACCUCCAAAUGUUGCACCACACAUGUUCAUCUUUAGAGUCAAGCCCUAUUGCAGCGCAGGUUGUGCUUGGCCAGCACCUUCGUGAUGAACUUGCCAGUGACCACAGUGCAAGCAACUACCAGUACCCAGGAAGCCUCGACGAAGCCAAUGACGUACUGCUCUAUUUCGCGCCGGUGCCAUGUGGCCCACUUGUUUCCCUGAGCAUGUCGGUAUCGACAAAGGAACGAUAGUCGCUAGAUUAAAGGGAAGUGAGAUGGAAAGACACACUCGAGGAGGAAGAUGUUUAGGACUAUGUAUUUGCAUACUCUUUUGGAUCAAGGACGUGGGAUGUAAGUACGGUGUUUGCCUUUUUUUCUUUCUCUUUUUAGCUUUGAAGGGAUGUGUACAUGUUUUUUUUAUGUCUACAUGCUUGAUUUUUUUCCUCUAGAGGGAUAUGUACUUGUUUGUAUUUUUAAAAGGUUGGGGGAUCAUUCAUUUUGUACGCACUUGUUUUUUUUUCAAAUGUAUGUACGUGCCUGAUGGAUAUGUGUGGGGACGUUCUUUUUUAUAUAUGUGGGAUAUGUACGUGCUUGUAUUUUUAAAAGGCUGGGGAUCAUUCAUUUUGUACGCACUUGUUUUUUUUUCAAAUGUAUAUACGUGCCUGAUGGAUAUGUGUGGGGACGUUCUUUUUUUUCCAUGAUGGAUGAACGAUGUGGGAUGUGUAUUUUUUUAUAUCUGGGGGUACACUCUUUUUUAGUGUCCACCGGGUUAUGAAGAUCUAAGGCCUAUGAUUAUAAAAAGAAGAAAAGAAAAAAAUCACCGAUGAACUAUCGGGUUUCUGGUGGGGAGAUGGACAGGAAAAGAGGAAAAUGCAUUGGUUUGCGUGGUGGAAAAUGUGUGUCACAAAGAAGAAAGGUGGAUUGGGCUUUAGAGACCUUCACAACUUUAAUCUUGCUAUGUUAGCAAAGCAGUGUUGGCGACUUCUUCAAAAUCCGGACUCUUUGUGUGCACGAGUUUUGAGUGCAAAAUACUACCCUAACGGGGACAUCCUAAAAGCGGGACCGAAGAAAGGGUCUUCAUUUACAUGGCAAAGCAUUUUAGCUGGGGUUCAGACUUUCAAAAGGGGCUGCAUAUGGCGAAUUGGUUCUGGCUCACACAUCAAUAUUUGGGAAGAUCCAUGGAUUCCAUCUAGUGAGUCGAGAAAAGUUAUUACCCCUAGAGGAGGAAUUAUGUUAACAAAGGUGGCAGAGAUUAUUGAUCCCCAUACUGGACAGUGGGAUGAGGCAUUGUUGCGUAGUGUGUUUUCACCGGUUGAUCUAGAUAGAAUAUUACAGAUUCCCCUACAUGUUGAGGCAGUUGAAGAUUUUUUAGCCUGGCACUUUACGAGGUCCGGAACCUUCUCUGUCCGCUCGGCAUAUCAGGUGGAGUUUGAUCAUCAGUUUGGACGUCAUUACUCAAACUCGAAUAACCCAGGUACUGCUAACCUUAAUAUGGUUUGGAAAGAUCUGUGGCAACUGCGGCUCCCGGGGAAAAUAAAACAUUUUGGUUGGAAAGUCCUAAAGGGGGUCUUGCCGUGCCUCGGUGUUCUGGCAGGUAGGCAUAUACCCUUGGUUCCGCAAUGUCCGCUUUGCAAGAUCGGAUUAGAGGACGUACAACACUGCCUUUUUACAUGCGCACGGGCAUCUGAUGUUUGGUCUGAGUUAGGAUUGCAGAAUGAUAUUAUAAAAGCCAUGCGGCAAGAUCGAUCUGGUUCUAUAACUUUGGAAAUUCUGGUCCGCAUGCGUACCAUGAUUCAUGAGCUGCCAAUGGCUGAACUCAUCUUGGUUGCGAUGUGGUUUAUCUGGUGGCAGAGGCGCCAAGUAACUAAUGGGGAAUCAGUCCAGACACGGGAACAAACAUCAAUAUCUAUCCGAGUUUUAGCCACCAACUUCGUACGAGCCUACACACCAAAUCAGCCGGUACGUACGAUCAGUCAUCAGUGGAAGAAGCCAUUGGAGGGAGCGGUAAAAGUUAAUGUCAAUGCGUCAUUCCAUGCGGACAAUUUUUCAGGAGCCUGCGGCGCUAUUGCUCGUGAUGAUCGAGGCAAUUUCUUGGCUGCAACUACUUGUGCAAUACCGCAUGUGUCUAGUGCAACCUCUGCGGAAUUGUUAGCUAUCAGGUGUGGUCUGAUCCUUGCAGUGAAUCUUGGAUGCACUAAGCUUAUUUUGGAGUCUGACUGUACGAUUGCUUUGGAGGCUAUAUCUGACCCAAACGCAUACAUGGGAACUGAUGUUCCAAUAGUAGUAGAAUGCUCUCUUAUGGCAGUGAAAUUUAAAAGCAUCAGUUUUACUCAUUGUAGCAGAGAAGCGAAUAUGGUAGCGGAUGGCUUAGCAAAGCAUAGCUUUAGUCAUAGCAAGUCUGAAACUUGGGACGUUGUCCCGGACUUUAUUCUGCAUUCUUAUGUAAAUGAUCUUGCUCUUAUUUGAUGAAUAAAGUUUUAAUGCUCAAAAAAAAAGAUCUAAGGCCUAUGAUUUAUUAGUACAGAGAAGUUCUAUUAAAUCAACCAUCGGAUACUUCUGAUUUUUAUAGAAUUUUUGAUCAUAUUUCUCUUUGUUGGUUAACCUGCUAUUUACUUUUAAUAUAUAGUAGAUACUAUAUAUGCAGUACGUGACCAUGUAUGAGUUUGUGAGGGAUUCUCUAUAUACACAUAUGUGCGUUUGUUUUUUCCUUAUGGAAUAGAUGUGCAUGCACAUGCUUUCCAAUUAACAUGGUAGGCUUGCCAAAAAAAAUUUAACGUGAUUCCUCACGCAACAUCUUUUUUUAUAGAAGAGCUCUGACAACCGAAUAAUCCAGGCUUUUUUUCUAGAUUGGAAAAUAUCUACGUGGGACAUGUGCCACGUAAAUCCUUAGAGGCCCAUCAUAUUAUAUAUGUUACGUAAAUUGAACGGUCACGUAAUCUUAAUUUUAAGAGAUUUACCGGAUCGAGGGUUGAUAUUUUCUAAUUAAUGUGGAAUUUUCUAACCUAUUUCUCUCCCUUCUGGUUCACCGUAUAUUACUUUUAGUAUAUAAACAAGAUGAUUUUUGGAACAUGGACUUUUUCCAAAUUUAUGAAUAAAAUUUGAAAACUAGAGCAAUUUUUGACUAUAUCAAGGUUUUUUUAAACACAAACUUUUUUUGAAAUUUUAAAACACGAUUAUUAUUUUAAUGCAACCUUUCUUAGAUUUCAAAACACGUUUUUAAUGAAUAUUUUCUUAAACCCAACCAAAAGUUGAAAACUUGAACAUUUUCAAAAACACUCGGAAGUGUGGACAUUUUCUAAAAAACGUGAAAGGAUUUAGGAAAACUUCAAACUUUUUCAAAGCACGAAUAAUUUUUGGGAAAAAUGAAACAAAAUAAAAUUCCGAACAGUUUUUGAACAUUUUUUUAGAAAUGUUGAAUUUAUGAAAAAAAGGAUAAAUUAUGAAAGAAAGGAAAAUCGGUGAAGAAGAAAACAACAGAAGGAAAAAAACUAAAAAAUAGUGUAAGAAAAAAAAACUAAUCCUAGCUACUUGGGAUGGUACAUAUGCGGUUUGCUCACUGCACAUUUCCUAAAAUUUUUUAGGGGUAAAAGCAAGUUUUAAUCAUCAAACACCAUAGAGUGUGGGAUAGAUUUGGGGUCGUGGCAUUGGUUAAACCCAAUGCGGCGUCCCAAACCUAACGAAAGAGAAAGACUGGCUAGACUAUGUGCUUCGACAUUGAUAGCAUGACCUUUACAAGAAAAAUUACUAUCAAAUAAAGAUGGUUGCAACUUAAUCUGGUUGAUAAUGGCUCGUUUCCCACAUAGUUUGCUCACAGUUUUUGAGAGAAAAUUUAGCCUUGAUGGGCUGGGAAAUCGGGCCAACCAAUCUCAAGUGCGACCGAUUCAUCUUUGUCCACUAGAAAGCCUGCCACGUUGCCCAAGAGCCAACCCUUAUCUUUUUUUUACAGGACCCGUAUAUGUUUUAUUGCUCCAGCAAGACCGGUCGCCGCCAAGCCUCUCUCGCCCGCUCAACAGCUCCCCCCGCCGCCGGGGCUAAGCCCUGGAUCCCCCCACCCCCAGGUUGCGAGCUUGUCCCAUCCCUCCCUCUCUUCUGCGUACCCUCGCCCCACCUCGUCUUCUCCCCCACCGGUGCUUUGCCUAGUUUCUUGGAAAAAACUCUCGAUAAAAUAUUGGAACUCUGGCAAAAUGUGCUUUCCUGAUUGCUACACUCGGCAAAAGGGGGUAUGCAUUGCACUGUUUUGGUUGUCCAUAUUGCAUACGACCUCGGAUGAAGAUGAUCCCAAAAUCAAAGUUUAUCAUUUUGACAAGAUGAUUAAUUUUCAUGUUCAGAACUUUUCCAUUUUAAGCCAUGUUAUUUACACUUUUGACAAUGCCAAAAUAUGGUCUCAAAUGAAUAUGGCGGUGGUCAUAUUUAUUGCAUAGUUUCUGACAAUGGGCCUAAAGUUGGCAUUUUGUUGCAUCUCGCCAUUACAAACAAUGAUGCCAAAUAGAGUUUCCAACAUUUUGUACAAAACUAAUUUUCCCAUUUUCUAAGUGUAAAAAAAUGGAUAUUUUGUGAAGCGGGUAAAAAAACAUAGUGCAAAAUGGCACCACCCCAAUUUACAUAAAAAGUAGACCACAUGUUUUAGAAAAUUCCCAGGUUUUGUGGAUCUUCUUAAUUUCUAGCUACUUUCGCACAGUUAAAUUCAAAUUUGAACUUUAAGUCUGUGAUAGCUUUGUCCUAAAAAUUAGCAAAAAUGUAAUCUAUUUUUUUAGGUGUGCAAGUAGUCAUUUUAUGAAAUCACCACUUAAGUUUGAGAGAUUCAGGCCCUUGCCAUGACUAUCCAUGCCGGGCAUUUUGACCCCGUUUUGGAAAAAUGAAACAAAAAGGAUACAAGUUCAAAAAAAUGCAAUCCAUUCGUAUGGACUCCUUUUAUGUGUACUAGCUAGGACGAAAAUACCAAACUUCAAUAUGAAAACUUUGAAAGAAAAAUAUCCAUCACAAAACGGGCUAUCAUGUAUGAACCUUCACGGCUUUCAAGUCAAACGACCAAGGUGACGACAAUAUCCAUUCCAUAGUUUAUUAUAUUAUGCCGAAAUUAGACAUAUAGGUGAAUCAUGCCAUUGCAAAUAAUGUUGUAAAAUAGAGUUUCCAACUUUUUGUACAAAAAAUCAUUUACUAUUUUCUAAGUAUCAAAAAUGGGUGUUUCUUGUGAAGUGGGUUCAAAAAAUAGAGUGGAAAAUGGCACCACUCCAAUUUUCACAAAAAGUAGACCAUAUUAGAUGGACAAUUCCCAAGUUUUGUAGAUGUCUAGCUAAAAACUAACAAUUGGUGUAUUUUUUUAAUAUUUAAUGAAAAUAAAAAAAUGGGAAGGGCGGAUACUUAAUGGAUAACAUGGACAUCUGAGGGUGUACCUUUAAGUGUUGGAGAUGCCUUUAUGUGCUGGUUUAUGUCGUGCUCAACCUGCAAUGUACUAGAGUUAAUCAUGUUGGGUAACGGUGCAUGGAAAAACAAAAAAAUAUCUACGCACACGUAAUGAUCUAUCCAUGGAGAUGCAUAGCAACGAGGGGGAGAGUGUGUCUACGUACCCCCAUAGACCAAAAGCGGAAGCGUUUGACAAUGCGGUUGAUGUAGUCAAACUUCUUCUAGCUCCGACCGAUCAAGCACCGAACGUACGGCACCUCCGAGUUCUGCACAUGUUUAGCUCGGUGAUGUCUCUCGUCUUCUUGAUGAGUUCCGUCAGCACGACAGCGUGGUGACGAUGAUGGUGAAGUGAUCCAUGUAGGGCUUCGCUUAAGCACCGCGAGAAUAUGACCGGGGGUGUAAACUGUGGAGGGGGGCGCCGCACACGGCUAACAAUUGAUGUUGUGUGUUCUAGGCGCCCCCUUCCCCACAUAUAUAUAGGUGGGAGGGGAGGGGAGGCAGCAAGGGGGCACCCCAAGUAGGAUCUGAAUCCUACUUGGGGUUUCCCCAAGUGACGCCCCCCCCCUUCCUUUUUUCCACCGGAGAAGAAAGGAAGGGGGAAGAAGAGAAGCAAGGGGGGCUGAACCCCCUCUUCUCCUUCUCCUAUUUGGCCACUUGCCAUAGGGGAGGCGCGCCACCCCUUGUGNNNNNNNNNNNNNNNNNNNNNNNNNNNNNNNNNNNNNNNNNNNNNNNNNNNNNNNNNNNNNNNNNNNNNNNNNNNNNNNNNNNNNNNNNNNNNNNNNNNNNNNNNNNNNNNNNNNNNNNNNNNNNNNNNNNNNNNNNNNNNNNNNNNNNNNNNNNNNNNNNNNNNNNNNNNNNNNNNNNNNNNNNNNNNNNNNNNNNNNNNNNNNNNNNNNNNNNNNNNNNNNNNNNNNNNNNNNNNNNNNNNNNNNNNNNNNNNNNNNNNNNNNNNNNNNNNNNNNNNNNNNNNNNNNNNNNNNNNNNNAUUCGAGAACACUUCCGGUGUCCGAAUACUAUCAUCCUAUAUAUCAAUCUUUACCUCUCGACCAUUUCGAGAUUCCUCGGCAUGUCCAUGAUCUUAUCCGGGACUCGAAACAACAUUCGGUCACCAUAUCACAUAACUCAUAUAAUACAAUAUCAUUAUCGAACGUUAAGCGUGCGGACCCUACGGGUUCGAGAACUAUGUAGACAUGACCGAGACACCUCUCCGGUCAAUAACCAAUAGCGGAACCUGGAUGCUCAUAUUGGAUCCUACAUAUUCUACGAAUAUCUUUAUCGGUCGAACCGUUAUGACAACAUACAUUAUUCCCUUUGUCUAUCGGUAUGUUACUUACCCGAGAUUCGAUCAUCGGUAUCUGCAUACCUAGUUCAAUAUCAUUAUUUGUAAGUCUCUUUACUCGUUUGUAAUACAUCACCUUACUAACGGAUGGGUCUUGUCCAUCACAUCAUUCUUCUAAUGAUGUGAUCCCGUUAUCAAAUGACACCUCAUGUCCAUGGUUAGGAAACCUUAACUAUCUUUGAUCAACGAGCUAGUCAAGUAGAGGCUCACUAGGGACAUAGUGUUUGUCUAUGUAUUCACACACGUAUUAAGGUUUCCGAUCAAUACAAUUCUAGCAUGAAUAAUAAACAUUUAUCAUGAAUAAGGAAAUAUAAAAUAAGAACUUUAUUAUAUCCUCUAGGGCAUAUUUCCUUCAAAUCAGUAUAUGUGUGCAUGCUUGGUUGUUAGUGAAAUGUUUUAUGUAUAUGUGUACAUGCUUGGUUGGGCCAACUUUGUGUAUUACAUUUUGUGAAAUACAAACUUGAUAUACGCCACAUUUGUGUUAACGACCAAUAAGUAUAUACAUAACUAUAUUUUGCCUUCUUUUUCCUCCUCCACAAGAAAAGGUCCCGCGCUUUUCUCCUCCUCCAAUUGGCGCCAUAGCUGGUCCGCCCCAUCUUUGAUGGCCUUUGGGCCCUUUAGUACCGUACCGAACCAGCAGCCUUCGCGCCAAGCGACGACCGCCCUUGUCCCUUUCCUUUUUCCAUUCAGCCUACUUCUUAGCUUUGUUCCGUUAGUCUAAGGCAAAGCUUAAGUGGUUUACCUACCUUACCCACUUGAUGAAAGGGAACGGACUUCAUUUCCUUGGCGGCUUUAUGGAUGGAUUCAGUAAGAAAAAUUCCUUCCUUUUGAAAAAAGUGACACCACGAAGGUGAGUAGGACCUCAGGCCCUCGCUGGCGGGAGGGAACCCGUUCUCAUUCUUUUUUGGUUCAAUGUCUUGCUGGAGCUGUGUUGCGGCUAUGAUGUCUCUCAGUAGGAAUAAUGUUUCACAUGUUCUAUCCCUGUCUCGAUGGUGCCUCUAGCAUUAUCAUAGGGCAUGUGGAGGUGUGUCUCUAUCGGAUUUCGCAGGAUUCGGUCGGCAUUGGUCUUCGGUGGAUCUGUUUGGACACGGUCUAUGUUCAUCUUUGUGGUGUUUAUACUAUUGAUCCUUCCGAUCUAUGACUUUCUUCAUCGACGAUGGUUGCUGCUUCGGUGCGCUGGUCCUAUGGGUCCUUAGCACGACAACUUCCUGACUAUUGACUACAACAAGGUUUGCCCGGCUCCAGCGAUCGGGGGGGGGGGGUGAUGGCGAUGCACAGCUUUCUUUAGUGCUUGUAGUCAUCGCUAGGUGGUCCAUGGACCUGGUUGUAAUUUUUUGUAUCUCUGGUGUUCUUUGUACUGCCAUGAUUGAAGAUGAAUAGAUUGGAAGUUUCUCACGCAAAAAUAACUAUAUAAAUAACUAUUUUAGCAAAAUUCGCAAAAAAACUAUUUUAGCAAGUAAUAAAUUUUGACACCAAUUAUAUGGUAGUAAUUAAUAUUUCCCCUAAUAAUAUCCGCAUUGGGUCCAGGUUUUAUACUAUGUAUACAGACGGGAGUAUGUUUGGAUAAUUGUGUGAACACAAGGAUAUAUCUUAGCAAAACUAUUUUUAGCAACAAGUAAAUGAAUUAAUAUAUGCUAGCUAUACUCUGCUGGUGAAAACAUGGUUUAUUAGUUGUACAAAGCAUGCAACACGGUUUCACUCCCCUUUAUAUUCAUGGGCGGAACACAAUUUCAGAUCCAAGUUUUAUGUUUGUCUACACACUCCCAUCUUCUUCCCAUAUCAGCAGGAAAAUUCACUCCAAUCAUCUCGCCAUUCUACACUUGGGAAAUCAGGUUUGCUUCAAUCUACCAUCCUUGAAUAUAUGCCCCACAUCUUGUUUCUGCGUCCUAAUCUUAUUAAGCUUGUAAUUAGUAGUUAGUGCAAGAUCAAAAAGGAGCUAUGGGCAAAACACCAUCCGCACCUGCUGAUUUAAUCACCAUAGGACAAGCGGCGCCUAAUCAUGAAAUAGCAGGAGAUUCAAGUGACAGUGAGAGAACAAUCAGUGAGGGUUAUGUGGGGAUCAUGUAUGGUGGUAGCCAAACCCACGAUAGCAACCUGGAAGGAGAAUCUGACAUGGUAUUGCUAGCAACAGAUUCAAGUGACAGCGAGAGAACAAUCAGUGAGGGUUAUGUCGGGAUCCUGUAUGGUGGUAGCCAAAUCCAGGAUGGAGACCUGGAGGGAGAAUCGGCUAUGGUAUUGCCUGCUGUAGGAGAGAAUACCACGGCGAGAUCUAACAGUCAUGGUCAUACGCGUAGCUUGGAAAUUGAUUCUACCUCUUGUACUGGGAGGCAUGCUGCCAGGUCAGAUUUUGUUCUAGUGGCACAACGCCGAGACUGCAUACAAAUUUACCCUGAGUGGCUGGAGAAAAUUGAUUCAGGCAAAAAGAUGUGGAUAGCUCUCAAAAAAUUUCGAGCAAAUGGGAAGCAUGAAGAGGUUAGUAUAUACACAUGUUCUGGUGUGCUCUCUCAUCAAAUAAUUUUCAUUGUGGGUUAAUCAUCUCAUAACAUAAGGAGUGUUUGCUUGAUGGGCAUUCAGACCAAAUGAUGAACGAAUUAGAUCCUAGGUUCUCCAAAAGAUGACAUUGUGUUUUGCUUCCGUUACCUCAUAGAUUUUCAGCCUUUGCGUCAAAAUGAUUUUAUGCAUUUGUUUUCGCACUAACUUGUAUUUUUUUAAGCACAACCAUCCAUAUAUGUAAAAAAAACUCAUGGCCACUUGUGCGAUUGAUAGAAAUCAGUUAACAUCUCAAUUUCCUCAUGUGCUAUUGUAUGACUAUGGAGGUUUUUCUAACAUGAUCCUUCUUACCUCCCCUUUUCACAUGAGACGUAAGAGUAUAAAGUAAAUCUGAGUCAUUGACUGCAUUAAGUAGUGGGCUUGACUAAAUCUUACCUUCUUAACUCCCAUGUGAAAAGAUGGGGUAAGAGGAAGCAUGUUAAAAUGGCUCAUGAACGGUGCUGCCGCCAGUGGCAGAGCUUGAGCAUAAUCCAAGAGGGCCAUUACUUGAAGGGGGGGAAAUUAGAAGGGAAGGAGGGGAAAAUAUCUAGUUUAAACACUAGUUAGGCUUAAAAUAUAGUAUAUUCAUUGAUGGGUGCAAAAAUUAAGGGGGGCCAUGGCCCCUGUUGGUCUACAUGAAGCUCCGCCACUUGCUGCCGCACAUUCUACAGUAUUGUUAUAGACACUGACUGACUCUUAUUUUUGCACUAUAUCCAAAUGUACUAGCAGUCAUAAGACACCAAUCUGUCAGGAUCUCGGCUUUUGGCCUUCUGCUAGGAUGCACUAAAGAUAUUGAUAAGUCUCGCCAUUCCUGGAUGUUGUGAAGGUUACCUGACUGGAACAGAUUGUUCUGGAGAAGGAUAUGGAGGCGCGGCAAACCUAAAGCAACGAUGAUGCAACAAAUGGAAUGUGAUCGAGAAUGGUAUUAUCUACAUGUGCACACCAGAGAGCAUACAAAUUAGGGUCUGCAUGGACGACCAAAACACAUGGCAUUUUUUAUCAACUAGACCAUCCUUUUUUCUUUGAUCUACUAACAUUGGUUGCCAUUUCGGGCUUUUGGGCCGACCUUCGGGCGAGAAAUUGAAGCCCAAGCCUACCCCAGAUGUCGGGCUUUGGGCUCAGGCCUCUGGGCCGGGUAGUCCAUGAACAGGUUUAGUUUGAUCUAUUCACUCACAUUUUGAUCCUCAUUCAUUAUAGCAUUUAACCAUAAUUCAUAUGAACAUGCACCACGAGAAUAUAAUAAAGGAAAUGCAUGGGCUAAUUUGUAGUACACAACGCCUUAUUGUGCGGUAUCACAAGAACAUUUUUCUCCUUGAUUACAAUAGUAACUACUAUGCAAUCUUAUAUAUCAAAUCAUAUAUUAUAUGACAAAUUAAGUAUAUUGUUUUGCUUAUUUCAGUAUUACCUUCAUAAGGAAUAUAGUCACAAGUUUUGCUCCAAACGCAACGUUAUUGAGUUCAUACGAAAUGGAACUGUGAAAGGGAAGUCGGUUCAGAAGGUGCCUAAAUACUUGACUUUCAAACAUAUAGUAAUUAUGCGAAGAUGUAUAUGUUUUUUGUAUUAACUUUAAAGUAUUAAUUUGACACGGUAUCCUAUUUUUGCACAGAGAUCAUCUGAUACUUCUAUGAACAAUCUUCAGGGUAUGUCCAGUUGGCCCCAUGCAUUUGGAUAUUAUUUUGUAUACUAUUAUUACUAUACAGAGAUAUCUAACUGAAACUGAAAUAUAAUAAAUAUUCAUGGAGAGAAAAAUAGACAUUAAUGUCCACAUACACAACAAAAUUAACCAGUACUGUCCUAGUUUACAUGAAUUAAUAUUUUCAAUGACAAUUAGGUUACUCAUGACAUGAUAAAGAAAAAAAAUGUGAGGUAAGAUAAGGUUUUCUAUAAUUUUUCAUGGGGACCUCCUCAUGGUUGCAGAUACAUAGUUUUACAGUGCUUCAUGAAAUAGUUGCAUAUCAUCAUGUCUAAAAGAAUCAUGACGGACACAACUUCAAGAAAUUCUUCUUGUAAAAUAACAUGAUUUGUAUAUACCUCAUAAAGGAUGUAACUUGUUGGUAGCAUUUAAUAUUGUGACACACUCGCCAUCUUUUGUGCCAGCAUUAUUUGGGUGAUGAUUUAAUAUCCAAAAGCAUACAUCAAGGUAGUUAUGUGCAAUGAUAUUCUUGUGAAAAUAACUUCCAUAGUGUAUACUUGCAUAUAUGUAUUGCUCUAUUGUAUUCUCACAGUUAAUCCUUUUUCUUAAUUUUUUGUUUGUUUAUUUAUGUUUAGAGCAAGAUUAUAAAUUAAGCUGAGCAUAAUUUCUGCAGAUUAUAGAUGGCCCACUGAAAGACAAAGGGCGAAGGCGCAAACUUCAAAUAAUUCUUCUUGCCACAUAGGUUUUUCUAAUUGUGCGAGCAUACCACUUGUAACUGCCUUCAGUCAUCUAUGUCAGUAGUAUUUUGAGAAGAAUUUCAUUACAAAAUGCAAUGACUCAAACAAUCAGAUUGUUCAUGAUGAUUCCUAAUUGUAUAACCAAUAAGCUUAACGCACCUUCCUAUUUUAGAGUUGUUAUGUUAAUAAGUAUAUACUAUCUGUUAUUAAUGUUGUUAAUGGGUGAAGAACAUUUGUUGCUCAUGGUUAGAAUGUAGAAUUUUCUUAAUACAACAACCUAGAGCGAAUGUGGAGGCCAAUAUAGAUUGAAACCAUUAAUUCAUAUUAAAAUGGUCAUGACUUCUUAUUUUUAUUUGACAUAAAUGUUUGUGACUUGUUUGAAUUAAUGUGUUCUGCAAUUAUAUGAUACUUGCGUAUUCAUACUAUUUUUAUGAAUUGUGCAGCUAGUUUGUCGACAGGAGCACGAACAACCACAACUUCUACAAAGCUUCCACAUGGUUUCAUCUAGUAUCAUGCAAAAGACAUUGAGACAAUCAAGAUUACUUGAGCAACCUGAAUUAUGUUAGUUGUUACCUGCUUUCAAACGAAUGUGUCCUCUCAUAGUAUGCAUGUACUUCUGUUGUUGAGGAAUUUAUAUCAUUAGACAGUUCUGUUUUUCAUAAUUAUUGAUUAAUGGGUACAUACCUUCAAUCCUGGAAGAUUAUCAGAUAGCCAGUCAAGGAAGCAAUUUAUUUAUUGAAUUGUGCAUAAUAGGAACAUUUUUACAUUCAAAGGAACAUCAUAGGAAUAAUUUGGUAUUUCGAGAAGAUUUUCCAGUCCCCUGCCCCAACCUACUGGAGACAGUAUGAGUGGUGACAGACACAUUUGUAACAUACGAGCAAGCUAGUGCAGCAGCUUCAGUCACAUGCUCUGGAAGCCCAUUUUGGGUCUUCCUUCAGAAGGCUCAACAAGGCCAUCAUCACACCAUUCUAGUUAGUUACUUCUGCAACGAUAUAUGUCCUUAAGAAAAUAAGAAGCUAGGGUUCUAGUAGACUUAUAAUGCUCUAGCAGCACCACGUUGGAUAUGCUCGCACAAAUAAAAUAACAUGAAUCGAGUCUAUAUGUAAGCACAUAUCUUGUCACCAGUCAACUACUAGUACAGUAAGAGCAUCAAAGAGGAAUUCAUUUCAUAUAGAAUAGUCGCAAUCAUAUACUUCUGUUCUGCACAUACUGCUCAUUAUCAUGGACAAUGAUGUAGCUAGAUAAAAGGGAGCAUGUGGCAAUAAUGUAAGCAGGGAGGCUCCAGGGAAGAGCUCAACAGACAGAACUAACCUGCUCUUGCAAGGAACCAGUAAGCCUUGCUACAUUGUCACCUUCAUGCUGCAUGGCAUCGUGUCCACCAGCUAUUGUGGUAUGUCGCAAAUCUUUCCUCUCAUCUUUUCACCGAAAGCGAUCGUUGGCGAAUUCUAAUCUUUCUGGAACAACAUUCCUAAUUCCCUGCACUAGAAGGUCAUCAUGAUGCAUCGGUACAUCGGAAUUCCGGCCACAUUAACAAAAUCUUUGCCCAAACCAAAUUAAGGUAGAAAUGAGAAAUGAAGGAGAGCACCAAAUAGUAAGUUAGGUUACACACAUAUAUAUAGAAAUGCCGUUCAUAGUAAAAACAACAGGAAGUGUAUCCAUGUUGUUUGCUUAGGUGGCUGAAACCAAGGUCCUAUUCACUGGGAUGAUAAACCUACUAAAUAAAAGGGUUCUCAAAGUCCCCUCAGAACUAGAGUCGAGUAACACAGUCAUGAUCCCAUGGGGUUUCAGGAUAACGACAUGCAAAUGUGGUUAACACAAUCAGCUCUCUCAUUAAGAUUUGUCUUAUUUUUUAUCACUACAGGAAAAUUCAUGUUUGCCGAGUGUCAGUGUCUUUGCUGAGUGCAUUUUGUUGGGCACUCAGCAAACAUAUCUUUGCCGAGUGUAAUCCUGAAACACGGUAAACAGGUGCUUUGCCGACUGUCGUGGAAAAAACACUGGCAAAAAAGUUAUAGUUGCUAAAAUGUGCUUUGUUGAGUGUCUUGGAAAUAACUCUCAGCAAAAUAGUGGAACUCAGGCAAAGAUGUGCUUUCUCGAGUGCUACACUCGGCAAAAGGGGGUAUGCACUGCGCUCACUGUUUUGGCCGUCGAGAUUGCAUACAACCUCGGAUGAAGAUGAUCCAAAAAUCAAAGUUUUACAUUUCGACGUGAUGAAUAAUUUUCAUGUUGAGGACCUUUUCCUUUUAGACCAUAUUAUUUACACUUAUUGCCAUGCCAAAGUAUGGUCUCAAAUGAAUAAGGCGGUGGUCAUAUUUAUUGCAAUUUACGACUAUGGGCCUAACCUUGGCAUUUAUGUGCAUCUGGCCAUUACAAACAAUGUUGCCAAAUAGAGUUUCCAACAUUUCGUACAAAGAUAAUUUUUCUAUUUUUGAAGUGUAAAAAAUUGAUACUUUUGUGAAGCUGGUACAAAAAUCGAGUGCAAAAUGGCAUCACUCCAAUUUUCACAAAAAUAGACCAUAUUUUUUGGAAAAUUCCCAUUUUUUGUGGAUUUUCUAGAUUUCUAGCUACUUUCACACAUUUAAAUGACUUUAUUAUGAUUCCGCAAAAUUAAUUCAAUUUGAACUGUAAUUGUGUGAUAGCUCUAUCCUACAAAUUUGCAAAAAUAUACUUUUAGGUACACAAGUAGUCAUUACAUGGAAACCCCACUUAGAGUUUGAGAGAUUCAACCCCUUGACAUGAAUAGACAUGCCGGCCACUUUCACCCCGUUUUGGAAAAAAUGAAACAAGAAGGAUACAAGUUCAAAAAAUGCAAUCCUUUCAUAUGGACUCCUUUUAUGUGUACUAGUGUAGAUGAAAAUACCAAACUUUCAAUAUGACAGUUUUGAAAGAAAAAUAUCCUGCACAAAUGGGCUAUCCUCUAUGAACAUUCAUGGCUUUCAAGUCAAAUGACCAAGGUGAUGACCAUAUUCAUUGCAUAGUUUAUUAUAAUGUGCCCAAAUUAGACAUAUAGGUGAACCUUGCCAUUACAAAUAAUGUUGCAAAAUAGGGUUGAAGGAAAUAUGCCCUAGAGGCAAUAAUAAAGUUAUUAUUUAUUUCCUUAUUUCAUGAUAAAUGUUUAUUAUUCAUGCUAGAAUUGUAUUAACCGGCAACAUAAUACAUGUGUGAAUACAUAGACAAACAUAGUGUCACUAGUAUGCCUCUACUUGACUAGCUCGUGAAUCAAAUAUGGUUAAGUUUCCUAGCCAUGGACAAAAGAGUUGUCAUUUGAUUAACGGGAUCACAUCAUUAGGAGAAUGAUGUGAUUGACUUGACCCAUUCCGUUAGCUUAGCACUUGAUCGUUUAGUAUGUUGCUAUUGCUUUCUUCAUGACUUAUACAAAGUUCCUACAACUAUGAGAUUGUGCAACUCCCGCUUACCGGAGGAACACUUUGUGUGCUACCAAACGUCACAACGUAACUGGGUGAUUAUAAAGGUGCUCUACAGGUGUCUCCAAAGGUACAUGUUGAGUUGGCAUAAUUCGAGAUUAGGUUUUGUCACUCCGAUUGUCGGAGAGGUAUCUCUGGGCCCUCUCGGUAAUACACAUUACUUAAGCCUUGCAAGCAUUGCAACUAAUGAGUUAGUUGUGGGAUGAUGUAUUACGGAACGAGUAAAGAGACUUGCCGGCAACGAGAUUGAACUAGGUAAUCGAUACCGACGAUCGAAUCUCGGGCAAGUAACAUACCGAUGACAAAGGGAACAACGUAUGUUGUUAUGCGGUUUGACCGAUAAAGAUCUUCGUAGAAUAUGUAGGAACCAAUAUGAACAUCCAGGUUCCGCUAUUGGUUAUUGACCGAGAAUAGUUCUAUGUCAUGUCUACAUAGUUCUCGAACCCGUAGGGUCCGCACGCUUAACGUUACAAUGACAGUUUUAUUAUGAGUUUAUAAGUUUUGAUGUACCGAAGGUUGUUCGGAGUACCAGAGGAGUCUCGAAAUGGUCGAGACACAAAGAUUGAUAUAUUGUACGGAUAUAUUUGGACACCGGAAAGGUUCCGGAUGAGAUUGGGACUAUACCGGAGUUUCGGGAGGUUACCGGAACCCCCCGGUAAGUAUAUGGGCCUUAUUGGGCCUUAGUGGAAGGGAGGGAGAAGGAUCAAAGGAGGGGGUGCCCCCCCCCAAGCCCAAUCCGAAUUGGGAGGGGGGCCGGCCCCCCCUUUCCUUCUUCCCUCCCCUCUCUUCCUUCCCUCUCCUACUCCUAAUAGGAAAGGGGGGCCAAACCUACUUGGAGUAGGUUUGCCCCCCUAGGGCGCGCCUCCCCUCUUGGUCGGCCCCCUCCUCCUCUCCCCCUUUAUAUACGGAGGAGGGGGCACCCCAUAGACACACAAGUUGAUCUACGGAUCAUUCCUUAGCCGUGUGCGGUGCCCCCCUCCACCAUAUUCCACCUCAGUCAUAUCGUCGCAGAGUUUAGGCGAAGCCCUGCGCCGGUAGAACAUCAUCAUCGUCACUACACCGUCGUGCUGACGGAACUCAUCCCCGACGCUUUGCUGGAUUGGAGCCGGGGAACAUCAUCGAGCUGAACGUGUGCUGAACACGGAGGUACCGUACGUUCGGUGCUUGAAUCGGUCGAGUCGUGAAGACGUACGACUACAUCAACCGCGUUCUGAUAACGCUUCUGCUUACGGUCUACGAGGGUACGUGGACAAUACUCUCCUCUCUCGUUGCUAUGCCAUCACCAUGAUCUUGCAUGUGCGUAGGACAUUUUUUGAAAUUACUACGUUACUCAACAGUGGCAUCCGAGCCUAGGUUUUAUGCGUUAAUGUUAUAUGCACGAUUAGAACACAAGUGAGUUGUGGGCGAUACAAGUCAUACUGCUUACCAGCAUGUCAUACUUUGGUUCGGCGGUAUUGUUGGAUGAAGCGGCCCAGACCGACAUUACGCGUACACUUACGCGAGACUGGUUUUACCGCCGUGCUUUGCACACAGGUGACUAGCGGGUGUCAGUUUCUCCAACUUUAGUUGAACCGAGUGUGGCUGCGCCCGGUCCUUGUGAAGGUUAAAACAGCACCAACUUGACAAACUAUCGUUGUGGUUUUGAUGCGUAGGUAAGAACGAUUCUUGCUCAGCCCGUAGCAGCCACGUAAAACUUGCAACAACAAAGUAGAGGACGUCUAACUUGUUUUUGCAGGGCAUGUUGUGAUGUGAUAUGGCCAAGACGUGAUGCUAUAUUUUAUUGUAUGAAGUGAUCAUGUUUUGUAACCGAAGUUAUCGGCAACUGGCAGGAGCCAUAUGGUUGUCGCUUUAUUGUAUGAAAUGCAAACGCCCUGUAAUUGCUUUACUUUAUCACUAAGUGGUAGCGAUAGUCGUAGAAGCAAUAGAUGGCGUAAACGACAAUGAUGCUACGAUGGAGAUCAAGGUGUCGCGCCGGUGACGAUGGUGAUCACGAUGGUGCUUCGGAGAUGGAGAUCACAAGCACAAGAUAAUGAUGGCCAUAUCAUAUCACUUAUAUUGAUUGCAUGUGAUGUUUAUCCUUUAUGCAUCUUAUCUUGCUUUGAUUGACGGUAGCAUUUUAAGAUGAUCACUCACUAAAAAUUAUCAAGAAGUGUUCUCCCUGAGUAUGCACCGUUGCCAAAGUUCGUCGUGCCCAGACACCACGUGAUGAUCGGGUGUGAUAAGCUCUACGUCCAUCUACAAUGGGUGCAAGCCAGUUUUGCACACGCGGAAUACUCAGGUUAAACUUGACGAGCCUAGCAUAUGCAGAUUGGCCUCGGAACACGGAGACCGAAAGGUCGAGCGUGAAUCAUAUAGUAGAUAUGAUCAACAUAAUGAUGUUCACCAUUGAAAGCUACUCCAUUUCACGUGAUAAUCGGUUAUGGUUUAGUUGAUUUGGAUCACGUGAUCACUUAGAGGAUUAGAGGGAUGUCUUUCUAAGUGGGAGUUCUUAAGUAAUAUGAUUAAUUGAACUUAAAUUUAUCAUGAACUUAGUCCUGGUAGUAUUUUGCAAAUUAUGUUGUAGAUCAAUAGCUUGCGUUGUUGCUUUCAUAUGUUUAUUUUGAUAUGUUCCUAGAGAAAAUUGUAUUGAAAGAUGUUAGUAGCAAUGAUGCGGAUUGGAUCCGUUAUCUGAGGUUUAUCCUCAUUGCUGCACAGAAGAAUUAUGUCCUUAAUGCACUGCUAGGUGACAGACCUAUUGCAGGAGCAGAUGCAGACGUUAUGAACGUUUGGCUAGCUCAAUAUGAUGACUACUUGAUAGUUUAGUGCACCAUGCUUAACGGCUUAGAAUCGGGACUUCAAAGACAUUUUGAAUGUCAUGGACCAUAUGAGAUGUUCCAGGAGUUGAAGUUAAUAUUUCAAGCAAAUACCCGAGUUGAGAGAUAUGAAGUCUCCAACAAGUUCUAUAGCUAAAAGAUGGAGGAGAAUCGCUCAACUAGUGAGCAUGUGCUCAGAUUGUCUGGGUACUAGAAUCGCUUGAAUCAAGUGGGAGUUAAUCUUCCAGAUAAGAUAGUGAUUGACAGAAUACUCUAGUCACCAUCACCAAAUUAGUAGAACUUCGUGAUGAACUAUAGUAUGCAAGGGAUGACGAAAACGAUUCCCAAGCUCUUCGUGAUGCUGAAAUCGAUGAAGAUAAAAAUCAAGAAAAGCAUCAAGUGUUGAUGGUUGACAAGACCACUAGUUUCAAGAAAAGGGCAAAGGGAAGAAGUGGAACUUCAAGAAGAACGGCAAGCAAGUUUCUGCUCAAGUGAAGAAGCCCAAGUCUGGUCCUAAGCCUAAGACUAAGUGCUUCUACUGCAAAGGGACUAGUCACUGGAAGUGGAACUGCCCCAAGUAUUUGGCGGAUAAGAAGGAUGGCAAAAGUGAACAAAGGUAUAUUGGAUAUACAUGUUAUUGAUGUGUACUUUACUAGUGUUUAUAGCAACCCCUCGGCAUUUUGAUAUUGGUUCAGUUGCUAAGAGUAGUAACUCGAAACAGGAGUUGCAGAAUAAACAGUAAAUAGUAAAAAGGCGAGGUGACGAUGUGUGUUGGAAGUAGUUCCAAGAUUGAUAUGAUCAUCAUCGCACACUCCCUAUACUUUCGGGAUUAGUGUUGAAACUAAAUAAGUGUUAUUUGGUGUUUGCGUUGAGCAUGAAUAUGAUUUGAUCAUGUUUAUUGCAAUACGGUUAUUCAUUUAAGUAAGAGAAUAAAUUGUUGUUCUGUUUACAUGAAUAAAACCUUAUAUGGUUACCCACCCAAUGAAAAUGGUUCGUUGGAUCUCGAUCAUAGUGACACACAUAUUCAUAAUAUUGAAACCAAAAGAUGCAAAGUUAAUAAUGAUAGUGCAACUUAUUUGUGGCACUGCAGUUUAGGUCAUAUUGGUGUAAAGCGCAUGAAGAAACUCCAUGCUGAUGGGAUUUUGGAAUCACUUGAUUAUGAAUCACUUGAUGCUUGCGAACCAUGCCUUAUGGGCAAGAUGACUAAAGACUCCGUUCUCCGGAACAAUAGAGCGAGCAACUGACUUAUUGGAAAUAAUACAUACGGAUGUAUGCAAUCCGAUGAGUGUUGAGGCUCGCGGCAAGUAUCAUUAUUUUCUGACCUUCACAGAUGAUUUGAGCAGAUAUGGGUAUAUCUACUUAAUGAAACAUAAGUCUGAAACGUUUGAAAAGUUCAAAGAAUUUCAGAGUGAAGUUGAAAAUUAUCGUAACAAGAAAAUAAAAUUUCUACGAUCUGAUAGUGGAGGAGAAUGUUUGAGUUACGAGUUUGGUCUACAUUUGAAACAAUGCGGAAUAGUUUCGCAACUCACGCCACCCGGAACACCACAGCGUAAUGGUGUGUUCGAACGUCAUAACCGUACUUUAUUGGAUAUUGUACAAUCUAUGAUGUUUCUUACCGAUUUACCACUAUCCUUUUUGGGGUCAUGCAUUAAAGAUAGCUGGAUUCACGUUAAAAAAGGGGCACCACCUAAGUCCAUUGAGACGACACAAUAUGAACUGUGGUUUGGCAAGAAACCAAAGUUGUCGUUUCUUAAAGUUUGGGAUUGCGAUGCUUAUGUGAAAAAGUUUCAUCCUGAUAAACUCAAACCCAAAUCGGAGAAAUGUGUCUUCAUAGGAUACCCAAAGGAGAAAGUUGGGUACACCUUCUAUCACAAAUCCGAAGGCAAGACAUUCGUUGCUAAGAAUGGAUCCUUUCUAGAGAAAGAGUUUCUCUCCAAAGAAGUGAGUGGGAGGAAAGUAGAACUUGAUAAGGUAAUUGUACCUUCUCCCUUAUUGGAAAGUAGUUCAUCACAGAGAUCUGUUCCUGUGACUACUACACCAAUUAGUGAGGAAGCUAAUGAUGAUGUUCAUGUAACUUCAGAUCAAGUUACUACCGAAUCUCGUAGGUAAACCAGAGUAAGAUCCGCACCAGAGUGGUACGGCAAUCCUGUUCUGGAAGUCAUGCUACUAGAUCAUGAUGAACCUACAAACUAUGAAGAAGCGAUGGUGAGCCCAGAUUCCGCAAAAUGGCUUGAGGCCAUGAGAUCUGAGAUAAGAUCCAUGUAUGAAAACAAAGUAUGGACUUUGAUUGACUUGCCCAAUGAUCGGCGAGACAUUGAGAUUAAAUGGAUCUUCAAGAGGAAGACGGACGCUGAUAGUGUUACUAUCUACAAAGCUAGAAUUGUCGCAAAAGGUUUUCGACAAGUUCAAGGUGUUGACUACGAUGCGAGUUUUUCACUCGUAUCUAUGCUUAAGUCUGUCUGAGUCAUGUUAGCAAUUGCCAAAUUUUACGAAAUCUGGCAAAUGGAUGUCAAAACUGCAUUCCUUAAUGGAUUUUUUAAAGAAGAGUUGUAUAUGAUGCAACCAGAAGGUUUUGUCGAUCCGAAAGGUGCUAACAAAAUGUGCAAGCUCCAGCGAUCCAUCAAUGGACUGGUGCAAGCAUCUCGGAGUUGGAAUAUACGCUUUGAUAAGUUGAUCAAAGCAUAUAGUUUUAAUACAGACUUGCGGUGAAGCCUGUAUUUACAAGAAAGUGAGUGGGAGCACUACAGCAUUUCUGAUAAGUAUAUGUGAAUGACAUAUUGUUGAUCGGAAAUAAUGUAGAAUUUUUCUGGAAAGCAUAAAGGAGUAUUUGAAAGGAGUUUUUCAAAGAAAGACCUUGGUGAAGCUGCUUACACAUUGAGCAUCAAGAUCUAUAGAGAUAGAUCAAGACGCUUGAUAAGAUUUUUCAAUGAGUACAUACCUUGACAAGAUUUUGAAGUAAUUCAAAAUGGAACAGUCAAAGAAAGAGUUCUUGCCUAUGUUGCAAGGUGUGAAGUUGAGUAAGACUCAAAACCCGACCAUGGCAGAAAAUAGAAAAGAAUGAACAGUCAUUCCCUAUGCCUCAGUCAUAGGUUCUAUAAAGUAUGCUAUGCUGUGUACUAGACCUAUUGUAUACCUUCCUCUGAGUUUGCCAAAGGAAUACAAUUUUGAUCUAAAAGUAGAUCACUAGAACAGCGGUCAAGAAUAUCCUUAGUGAGGACUAAGGAAAUGUUUCUCGAUUAUGGAGGUGAUAAAAGAGCCAGUCAUAAAAAGUUACAACGAUGCAAGCUUUUACACCAAUCCAGAUGACUCUAAGUCUCAAUCUGGAUACAUAUUGAAAGUGGGAGCAAUUAGCUAGAGUAGCUCUGUGCAGAGCAUUGUGGACAUAGAAUAUUUGCAAAAUACAUACGGCUCUGAAUGUGACAGACCCGUUGACUAAACUUCUCUCAUGAACAAAACAUGAUCAUACCUUAGUACUCUUUGGGUCUUAAUCACAUAGCCAUGUGAACUAGAUUAUUGACUCUAGUAAACCCUUUGGGCGUUGGUCACAUGACGAUGUGAACUAUGGGUAUUAAUCACAUACAUAUGUGAAUAUUGGUGUCAAAUCACAUGGUGAUGUGAACUAGAUUAUUGACUCUAGUGCAAGUGGGAGACUGAAGGAAAUAUGCCCUAGAGGCAAUAAUAAAGUUAUUAUUUAUUUCCUUAUUUCAUGAUAAAUGUUUAUUAUUCAUGCUAGAAUUGUAUUAACCGGAAACAUAAUACAUGUGUGAAUACAUAGACAAACAUAGUGUCACUAGUAUGCCUCUACUUGACUAGCUCGUGAAUCAAAGAUGGUUAAGUUUCCUAGCCAUGGACAAAAGAGUUGUCAUUUUAUUAACGGGAUCACAUCAUUAGGAGAAUGAUGUGAUUGACUUGACCCAUUCCGUUAGCUUAGCACUUGAUCGUUUAGUAUGUUGCUAUUGCUUUCUUCAUGACUUAUACAAAGUUCCUACAACUAUGAGAUUGUGCAACUUCCGUUUACCGAGGAACACUUUGUGUGCUACCAAACGUCACAACGUAACUGGGUGAUUAUAAAGGUGCUCUACAGGUGUCUCCAAAGGUACAUGUUGAGUUGGCAUAAUUCGAGAUUAGGUUUUGUCACUCCGAUUGUCGGAGAGGUAUCUCUGGGCCCUCUCGGUAAUACACAUCACUUAAGCCUUGCAAGCAUUGCAACUAAAGAGUUAGUUGUGGGAUGAUGUAUUACGGAACGAGUAAAGAGACUUGCCGGCAACGAGAUUGAACUAGGUAUUGGAUACCGACGAUCGAAUCUCGGGCAAGUAACAUACCGAUGACAAAGGGAACAACGUAUGUUGUUAUGCGGUUUGACCGAUAAAGAUCUUCGUAGAAUAUGUAGGAACCAAUAUGAACAUCCAGGUUCCGCUAUUGGUUAUUGACCGAGAAUAAUUUUAGGUCAUGUCUACAUAGUUCUCGAACCCGUAGGGUCCGCACGCUUAACGUUACGAUGACAGUUUUAUUAUGAGUUUAUAAGUUUUGAUGUACCGAAGGUUGUUCGGAGUACCAGAUGUGAUCACGGACAUGACGAGGAGUCUCGAAAUGGUCGAGACAUAAAGAUUGAUAUAUUGGACAGAUAUAUUUGGACACCGGAAAGGUUCCGGAUGAGAUUGGGACUAUACCGGAGUUCCGGGAGGUUACCGGAACCCCCCGGUAAGUAUAUGGGCCUUAUUGGGCCUUAGUGGAAGGGAGGGAGAAGGAGCAAAGGAGGGGGCGCCCCCCCCCCCCAAGCCCAAUCCGAAUUGGGAGGGGGGCUGGCCCCCCCUUUCCUUCUUCCCUCCCCUCUCUUCCUUCCCUCUCCUACUCCUAAUAGGAAAGGGGGGCCAAACCUACUUGGAGUAGGUUUUCCCCCCUAGGGCGCGCCUCCCCUCUUGGCCGCCCCCCUCCUCCUCUCCCCCUUUAUAUACGGAGGAGGGGGGCACGCCAUAGACACACAAGUUGAUCUACGGAUCGUUCCUUAGCCGUGUGCGGUGCCCCCCUCCACCAUAUUCCACCUCGGUCAUAUCGUCGCAGAGUUUAGGCGAAGCCCUGCGCCGGUAGAACAUCAUCAUCGUCACCACGCCGUCGUGCUGACGGAACUCAUCCCCGACGCUUUGCUGGAUUGGAGCCUGGGGAACGUCAUUGAGCUGAACGUGUGCUGAACACGGAGGUGCCGUACGUUCGGUGCUUGGAUCGGUCGAGUCGUGAAGACGUACGACUACAUCAACCGCGUUGUGAUAACGCUUCCGCUUACGGUCUACGAGGGUACGUGGACAAUACUCUCCUCUCUCGUUGCUAUGCCAUCACCAUGAUCUUGCAUGUGCGUAGGAAAUUUUUUGAAAUUACUACGUUACCCAACAAGGGUUUCCAACUUUUUUUGUAAAAAAACCAUUUUCUAUUUUCUAAAUGUAAAAAAGGGUGCUUUGUGUGAAGCAUGUACCAAAAACAGGGUACAAAAUGGCACCACUCCAAUUUUCACAAAAAUUAGACCGUAUUUUAUGGACAAUUCCCAAAAUCUGUAGAUUUAUCUCUAAAAAAUUAACAAUUGGUGUAUUUUUUUAAUAUUUAAUAAAAAUAAUAUAUAUUUUUAAUGGGAAAGGCAGAUAUUAAAAGGAUACCAUGGACAUCUGAGGGUGUACGUUGAAGCGUUGGAGGUGCCUUUACGUGCCAGUUUACGACGUGCUCAACCGGGAAUGUGGUAGUAUUAAUCAGUAUAUACUUUUAAAAAUCAAUAUAUAAUUUGUUUGGAUUAUUUUAGUUUGCAGGGCAAACUUAAAAUGGAUUUAUUUAGCCUAUUUUUGUGAAAUCACUAAUUAGGAGGUACCUUUUGCAAAGGUCACACCCCACUUUCAUUAGUGCUGACAGGUGGCACAUGGCAUGUGUGUCCCUUGUCGCAACAUGGGAGUUUGCCCUUUUUGUAGAUUCAUUUUUUUUAAUCUUUUAUCUCUUGAACCGCGCAUUCAAAUCACGACCCAUUUUUAUCGUUGGAUUUCUCACGCCGAGAUCUUUGAAACUAGUCACAUGUUAAUAAGUUCCGAUGAACUUUUUCUUCACGAAAAUCAAACAAAAAAAUAUGAAAACAAAAAAUACAGAAAGCAAAAAAAGAAAAAAAAAACUAAAAUCACGGUUGUGCUUUUUUACAUUUUUGGGAAGAAAAAUUGUGCUUUCCCCUUUUUGGGAAACACGGUUUUGCUUCUUGUGAAAGCAUAGGUUGUGCUUUUCCCUUUUCAAGAAGCAUAGGCCAUGCUUCUCUUGUUCUCCGGGAAGCACAUAUGUGCCUUUCCUUUCGGGGAGCACAGUUUUCUCUUUCGGAAAAGCAUAGAUGUGUUUUUCCCUUUUCAGAGAAGCACUACCUAUGCAUCUCACCGAAGAACAUGCUGUGCUUUUCCUUUUUUGAGGAAGUAUAGUUGUGCUUUCCCUUUUUUACAGGGUAGCAAAAAUUGUGCUUUCUUCCUUCUCGGGAAGCUAUGCUUCCCGCGGAAAAGCACCGCCUCAUGAAAAAACAUAAAAAUGAUUUUUUUUUCAUCAAAACCUAGGGAAAACCAAGAAAAAAAGAAAACAUGUGUAAAAAAAUCUAAGGGUGAACCCAGUGCACGACACGUGGCGGCAAUUGGACGCAUCACUUGAUGCGCUCUCAGGUCCUAAAAGUAGCCUAUGUGGAAUCCCCCGAUGAGAUACCCGUUAGAUAGUUGGAGACCUCCUUGCAUCAAAUAGGAGGGUGGCCACAAAGGGGGCGCAUCCUGGUGGGCCGGCCCAGCAGCGUGCUACACUCUAGCGCAAAUUGGUCAAAAUCUAAAAAGUGAUGUGUGAUCAAAGCGCGCAUGGCUAGCCACUCAAGCUAAUGAAACUCUGCUAACUACUAGGCCGUGUUGAACUUUAAAAAGUACUAUAUGAUACCCCGCGCGUUGUUGCGGGAACUCUUAGUACUUUACAUGAAGAAGCUUGUGGAGUGAAAAUAAUUAAAUGAUGAAAAUAUACACUUUUUAAAACCUUUGGUGGUACUUGUAGGAACAUUAUGGAGUGAAAAUAAGUUAACAAUUAAUAUAUUUUUGAACGUUUGAUGGUAUUUUGAGAAUCAUGAGAGAAAUGGUAUAUUAGGGUAUCUCUGUAUUUAUGUAGUUAGAACGCGCCACCCUUUAGCGGGGAAUUAAAUGCAUCGCUAACAUUAAAAAAUAGAGCAUAUAGUUUGAUGGGAAUUUCACUGAAAACAUGGCCAGCCAAGUCUAAAGCUGAAUAUUACACUGAACAGAGAGCCCAAUCAUUGCCUAACACAAAAGCACUAAUGCUUGUUGAGUUAUUUGUAAUAUAGGAGCAGAAUCCCUUCGAAAGAGAAAUUCCAAAAUAUUAAAAAGAUCCAACAGUAAGACAUCCAUACACCUUACAGUUUAUACAUGGAGACAAGCUACAUACCAAUCGCUAAAAAAGGUGAAUAUAGAGUCAUGCACAUCAGGCCCUCAUGGCAUAGAUGCAUUUCUUCCACUAAAAGGACAUGCCUUAAGGGGAUUAGUGUAGGUGUGAAGAUCUGGACAUAUAAAUGGCAGGAAUGACUUCAUCUUCCUGCCCCUUCUGUGGAAACAAAAGCCCGACUUCAAUUGGGAUCCGUUUGACAUGUUGCUCCCUCUUCAUAAAAUGGAGCUGAUCGUUAUCUAAAAGCAAGCUAGGUAGAUUUGGCAUGGCCAGCAGUAGUACUUGCUACUUUGCCAGUUGUGAUGCAUCAUAUGAGAAGGCAAGGAAGGUUGCGUGCUGCCAUGGCCGGACCCUUUGGGGUGCCAAAUGGUGUUCAAAUUUAUAGUAGGUUCCAUUUUUGGUGGGAAUCCAAGAAAAAGAAGGCAAUGGAGUAAGAUGACAACCCAUUCCCAGACUGCCACUCAAAAUCAAAAUGAAGAGGGUAAAUAAAUGUACUUACUAAGAACACACGGAUAACAUACAGCUGGCUACAGAAACAGCCAAACUUUGUAAGUCCAUGGAAAUUGAGGAAAUUGUGAAAACUAUUUCUGUGAGUAGAAGGAAACGUAGUCCAGUUACCUUUCAUGGUAAUGCUUCUCUUGAGACGAUUCUUAGGAUCCCUGAAGAAUGUCUUCUGUUUUCCUGAAGCGGGAUUCCUUGCUAGAGCAGUACCUUUUGUUCUCUUGAGUUAAGGCAGAGUGGGAAAUACAUCACUAUCAGCUCUAGUUCAAUUGCUUGUAUUUUACAAAAACAUACAAUUGAAACAAUUAUCAGGAAAAGUUAUUACCUUAAUCGCAGCAACUCUUUGAGCAUGCAAUUUGGCGUCUUGGUGUAUAAUCUUCAUGUGUAAACAAUUUGUUUUAGCAUCUAGACUCUAUAAUUAAAAUUAAUAAGUUCUUUAAAACCCAAAGGCAACUAUAUAGACCAAUACAAUUAAACAAAGCCAGCGGGUAGGUUUCAAAUAUUAAGUAGCAGGGCUCCAUAGUUAACUCUCCAUCAUGCAGGCAUUUAGUGUAGUAGAUACAAGACAUACGUGUGACAGAUUGCAUAUGAACAACAUUUAUUAGUAGGAAAAUUGUACUACCGUAUAUUGCACUAACACUAACUAUAUGAAGAAGCCAAUAGCAUGUAAUUUCAGCUUGCAAGAAAGCGCCACUUACUCUUAUAGAUCGGCUAAUCUACAUGGCAACUUCUGGGGAUGGUGAUGGAUAAGUACAGUUGGAUCGUUUUUAGAUGUUAAUCUAUUAUUAUAAAAAUCAUCUUCCUUUACUUUCAAGGGAGAACUGUAGAGGGGAAAGAACAACAUUUUUUAAUCUAAUGAUCCAUCACUUAUUCACAACUAUUGCAAUAACCAAGUAUGUUGGAUGCAAGGACGAGGUGAGAGUGCAGGCAACAUGUAUGUCACAUCAUGCGAACAGGUGGGGAUCAUGUUAAGUCAAUGCAGAAGGAUGCGUUGUGUGUCCGCGCACCGUCAACACCGCCGAGUAAACAGUAAACUAAACCUGGGGACCAGUGCUCUUGACCUUCCCAGCUACUUCUGGCAUAGGGGGAAUAUUUGAGGAUUUAUAGUGCUGAGAUUAGGGUUAGGAGNNNNNNNNNNNNNNNNNNNNNNNNNNNNNNNNNNNNNNNNNNNNNNNNNNNNNNNNNNNNNNNNNNNNNNNNNNNNNNNNNNNNNNNNNNNNNNNNNNNNNNNNNNNNNNNNNNNNNNNNNNNNNNNNNNNNNNNNNNNNNNNNNNNNNNNNNNNNNNNNNNNNNNNNNNNNNNNNNNNNNNNNNNNNNNNNNNNNNNNNNNNNNNNNNNNNNNNNNNNNNNNNNNNNNNNCUCCUCCCGAAGCUUCCUAGGUUUCUUCUGGUCCAAGAAAAAUCAUCGUAAAGUUUUAUUCGUUUGGACUCCGUUUGAUAUUCCUUUUCUGUAAAACUCAAAAACAAGAGAAAAAAACAGAAACUGACACUGGGCUCUGGGUUAAUAAGUUGGUCCCAAAAAUAAAUAAAAUAACAUAUUAAUGCAUAUAAAUCAUCCAAAAUAGAUAAUAUAAUAGCAUUGAACAACCAAAAAUUAUAGAUACGUUGGAGACGUAUCAGGAUCAUGUUAAGUCGAUGCGAAAGGAUGCAUUGUGUGUUCGCACACUGGAUGCUUGCAUUUAUAUGGCUCUAUCAGCAUCGCCGAAUAAACUAAAUCUGGGGACCGGUGCUCUUGACCUUCCCAACUACUUCGACUGGAAAUCAGAUCCUCCAUGCCAAAUAAGAAAGACCGUUCAGGUCGUGCUGAUAGAGAGGAAAGAGACCACUCACCUCCGACAAUGGCACGUGUGGCUCGCCUGAAGGUCCUUGGGUUGAAUCCACGGUGUUGGGCUAGCGUAGCACCCAUUGGCGGCAAUCAUGGGGCUCCAAGAUGGCGUCACCGUGUAGAUGUCUGGUGUUGUUGGCCAUAGACGGUUUUGUCAAAGGCGACGCAUUAUGGAAAGAUGGAGAGAUAAAAGAGGGGAGGAGAAGAACCUGGAAGACAAUAGAUAUUUAUUGGUGAAGGGGAGAUGAACGGAAUCAUCGGGCGAAGAGGUGAUGGCUCGUGUCCGCAUUAGUAUUUUCCCCGAAGAGGAAGGGAUGAUGCAACACAGCUACGGUAGGUAUUUCCCUCAGUGAUGAGACCAAGGUUAUCGAACCAGUAGGAGAACCACGCAACACUAUGUAAAUGGUACCUGCACACAAAGAACAAAUACUUGCAACCCGACGCGUAAGAGGGUUGUCAAUCCCUCCCGGGUAAAAGAUAGAUUGGUUUCUAGUAGAUUGGAUAAAUAGAUCUCGCGGAAACGCAAAAUAAAAUAAAUAACAAAAAAUUGCAUCAAGGUAUUUUUGGGUUUUUAGAAUAAUAGAUAUCUAUACCUAUUAAUAAAAGAAAUAGGUAUUCUUCGUCCGUCAUGCUAUUUUGUAGAAAACCCCCUGAUGUUUCUGACAUUAAACCAGCAGUACAUAUCAAGUGCUUUUUAAAAUACUCAUAAUUUUAAACCAUAACUCCAAAUUUAACAUAUUAUAUAUGGAAUUUAAUUAGAAAAUUAUUUAGAAUCUAAAUAUGAUGUUAUUUUACCUGUUAACAAUUUUUAAAAUAAACUAUCUAGGCUGCAAUGUUAAUCAACAAUGCAUUAUCCGUCUUUUUUUCAUACCGGUAUUGAUUUAGAUUGGGGAUGAAAACCUCAGCAAAAUCAGGAUUGGACAUCAGAUUGAAGAUAAAUUUGUUAGAGACACCGAAUAAAUAAGGACAUGCAUGACAAGAAAUAAAAAGAUCCAAUAAAGAUGGGAUGUCCGCUAUAAAAAUAAAUAAAAGAGAAAAUGCAGAGGAGAUCCGAUAAAGAUGAGAUGUUGCGCUAUUCUCCUAUAUAUAAGAAGAGUAAAAGGAGGACAUGCAUGAAAAAAGGUAAAAAGGAGGCAUGCAUGAAAAAAAUACAAGUUUUAUAAGAAAUAAAUAGUGAUGAAACAGGGACCAAUACCUAUGACAUGUAUGGCAAGAAAUAGUGAUGAAAUAGGGGCACAAGUACCUGAGUCAACAGGAGACCAUAAAAAAUGUUGUUUUCCAGACCAAAAAAAACCUAUUUUAUGAUUAAAAAAUCUUGUACCUUUUUAACAACCUUUUUAACUCUUCAUGUAUUUAAGAAAUAGCUACAAAUUCUCGGAUUAUAAAACAUUUUUUGUAAAUUAAGAGUGUGUGGUACUUUUUUCCCGUUGCAACGCACGGGCCUUUUUGCUAGUGAAAAUAAAAGAGGCAAAUAAUAGAUCGGAAAGCAAAUAUGAUAAAGAAUAGACCCAGUGGCCGUAGAUUUCACUAGUGGCUUCUCUCCAGAAAAAUUGCAUACAGUGGGUAAACAAAUUACUGUUGGGUAAUUGAUAGAACUUCAAAUAAUUAUGACGAUAUCCGGGCAAUGAUCAUUAUAUAGGCAUCAUGUCCUAGAUUAGUAGACCUACUCCUUCCUGCAUCUACUACUAUUACUCCACACAUCGACUGCUAUCCAGCAUGCAUCUAGUGUAUUAAGUUCAUGGAAAAAUGGAGUAAUGCAAUAAGAAUGAUGACAUGAUGUAAACAAGAUCUAUUCAUGUAGGAAUAGACCCCAUCUUGUUAUCCUUAAUGCAACGAUCAAUAUGUGUCUUGCUGCCCCUUCUGUCACUGGGAAAGAACACCGCACGACCGAUCCCAUCACAAAGCACCUCUUCCCAUGGCAAGAAAAAUCGAUCUAGUCAACCUAACUAAACAAAAGAUUCGAAGAAGAAUACGAGGCUAUAAGUAAUCAUGUGUCUAAGAGAUCAAAACUCAAAUAACUUUCAUGUAUAAAAUAGAUCUGAUCAUAAACUCAAAGUUCAUCGGAUCCCAACAAACACACCGCAAAAAGUGUUACAUCAAAUAGAUCUCCAAGAGACCAUUGUAUUGAGAAUCAAAAGAGAGAGAGGAAGCCAUCUAGCUACUGCCUACGGACCCAUAGUUCUACAAUGAACUACUCACGCAUCAUCGGAGAGGCACCAAUGAGGAUGAUGAACCCCUCUGUGAUGGUGUCUAGAUUGGAUCUCAUGGUUCCGGAACUUGCGGCAGCUCGAAUUGUGUUUCGUCGACUCCCCUAGGGUUUUUGGAUUUUCGGGGUAUUUAUAGAGCAAAAAGGUUGUGCGGGAGGGCACCGAGGUGGGCACAACCCACCAGGGCACGCCUGGGCCCCCAGGCGUGCCCAGGUGGGUUGUGUCCCCUGGGGACACCCAUCUGGUACUUCUUUGGCCCAAGUUGUUCCUUCUGGUCUAGAAAAAUUCUCCAAAAAGUUUCGUUGCGUUUGGACUCCGUUUGGUAUUGAUUUUCUGCGAAGUAAAUAACAAGCAAAAAAUAACAACUGGCACUGGGCAAAUAGGUUAAUAAAAUGAUAUAAAGUUGCUAUAAAAUGAUUGUAAAAUAUCCAAGAAUGAUAAUAUAACAGCAUGGAACAAGCAAAAAUUAUAGAUAUGUUGGAGACGUAUCAAGAGGCAAUAAGAGGAAGGCGCAGCAAUCAGUUCGACGGUAGUAAAAAAUUACACGAUUCCUUUCGUUGAAAAGGGAAAAAGGAAGCAUUGGUGAUGUGGCAGAUUUUCUAACCUGGAUGGCAGCAUGUUGAUUGCUGAUGUGGAUAGGCUACAUGUCAAGAGAAAUACGGUACUGGGGAUGAACUAUUUAGGUAUUAUAUAUGCGCAACAUCACAUCUAAACUCUUUAUGAAAUUACAAAACACGAUGGUUUUUAAAAUGGAUAUAUUUUGGAACCCAAUUUUUUAAAAUUUAUGAAUAAAUUUUUGAAAACUUGAACAAUUUCUUGAGUCUAUGAACAAUUUUUUGAACACGAACUUUUUUUCAAAAUUUCAAAACGCAAUUAUUUUUUUAAUGUAACCUUUUUCAAAAUUCAAAAACAUGAUUGUUUGUAAAGUGAAUAUGUUUUUAAAAUUCUAGACUAAAUUUGCAAGUUGAAUAUGUUUUGAGAAACACUCGAAAUUGUGGACGUUUUCUAAAACGUCAAAGAACUUUGAAAAACAUCAAACAUUUUUCAAAGCACGGAUUCUGGGAAAAAAACAAAUUCCGAACAUCUUUUAGAAAUUUUGAAUUUAUGAAAAAAGAAAAAGAAGCAGAAAAUGAAAAAAGAAAGAAAGCAAGGAAAAGCAGUGAAGAAAUAAAACAGAAAAAGGGAAAAAACCUGAAAAUAGUGGUAAAGACUGAUCCUAGCUACUUGGGCUGGUCCAUCUAUGGUUUACUCGCUGCUCAUUUCGGAGAUUUCUUUUAGGGGUAAAACCAAGUUUUAUACAUCAAACACCAUAGAGUGUGGGAUAGAGUUUGGGUCAUGGCAUUUUCCAAAGCAAACAUUGCGUCCCAGACCUAACGAAAGAGAAAACCUGCCUAGAUUAUGUGCUUCGACAUUUACAGGAUGAUCUUUAGAUAAAAAAAUACAAUGAAAUAAAUACGGUUGCAACUUGAUCUCGUUGAUAAUGGCUCGUUUCCACAUAGUUUGCUCACAUUUUUGAGAGAAAAUUUAGCCUUGAUGGGCUGGGAAAUUGGGCCAGCCAUCCUCGAGUGUGACUGGCUUGUCUUUGUCUAGUAUAAAUCCCAUCACGUUGCCCAAGAGCCCACCCUUAUCUAUUUUUCUACAGGACCCAUAUAUGUUUGGUUCCUUCAGCACGAUGGGCCGCCUCCCAGCCUCCCUCGCCCGCUCGACAGCUCCCCCACCAAUAGAGUUAGGCCCUCGACCCUCCCCCACCCCAAGGUUGCGAGCAUGUCCCUUCCCGACAUCUCUUCCACACGGCCUCGUCCCACCCCAUGUUCUCCCCCAAGUGCUUUGUCGAGUGUCAUGGAAAAAUAUUCUUGGCAAGAUAGUGGAACUCACGCAAAAUGUGCUUUAUCGAGUGCUACACUCGGCAAAAGGGGGUAUGCAGGGAAGCAAAAUCAUGCUUUUUUCCUUCUCGGGAAGCUGCGCUUCCCGUGGAAGGCUUCAUCAAAAACCAGAAAAAAAGAUUUUUUUUUUCAUCAAAACCUAGGGAAAAUAAAAGAAAAAAAACACGUGUAAAAAAUAAAAUCUUAAGGGUGUACCUGCACACGACAUGUGGCCGCAGUUGGGCACAUCACUUGAUGCGCUCUCAGGGCCUCAAAGUAACCUCUGCAGGAACCCUCGACAAGAAACCCAUCAGACAGUUGGAGUCUCCCUUGCGUCAAAUAGGAGUGUGGCCACAAGGGGAGCGCGUCCUGGUCGGCCGGCCCAGUAGCCUGUAGCACUCUACCGCAAAUUUGUCAAAAUCUAAAACAUGACGUUUGAGCAAAGCUCGCAUGGCUAGCCAGUCAAGCUGAUGAAACUUUGCCAACUACUAUGUCGCGUUGAUCAGUAAAAAUUAUGUGCAACAUCACAUAUGAAAAAAAAUUGGAAUUUCAAAACACGGUUGUUUUUAAAAUGAACUAGUAAAGUGGCCCGCUCGAUGUGCGGGCUAGAUUUUUAAGUUUUUUUUAAUAAUAUCAUAUUGUUUGAUUUGGCUAAAGAAAAAUUGGAACCCAAUAUGACGACUUUAUUGUGCGGGCUCAAUCUUUGAAUUGUCUAUUAUGUUUUAUGAUUGAAUUUCUUAUCUGUAGUAAGUCAAUACAUAAUUAUGACGACUUUAUUGUGCGGGCUCAAUCAAUAUUAUUAUUUACUGUUAUUCUUCUUAUUUUUAUUGUUAAAAAAACAAUGUUAAAGUCAACCCAUUUGAAAAAAACUAAUUUAAUGUAAGUAUAGUAUCUAAAGUCCUAGUAUAGUAAUUUCAUUUCAAUUUAAUUUUAUUGUAUUCUUCCAUUUUGAAAAUGUAUUUUUAUUAUGAAUCUAGCACUUUAGUUAAAAUACAAAUAAAACUACUACAUUACUGAUCCCAAAAUUAAACAAAAAUGUGUACAUAAACUUGUCUUUAUCAUCGAUGAAUUACAACCAGAUCAUAUGUUUAAAUAAUGGAUAUUUAUAUUAUUAAUCAACCAAGCAUAGUUCUUUUGAUCUCGUAGAUUGUGAUUUUCCAAUAGUGUCUUGUCUUUUUGUUUAUGUGCAAAUAAUAGUUCACCUAUCAUAUUUUACGAGAAUGGGAAACAAAUAUAAGAAAUAGAACUGAAAGAAUUAUAUGGACGUCUAUUCUUGGAAAAUUGUUUAUGGUGUCACCAUCUCGUUCACGUGUGAGUAUGCAAUCUAAUUUCUAACAUGGCAUUCUUUCAUGCGUGAAGAAAUUUCAAGUUAUCACAACGCGACAUGAGUUCGAUAGAAUAUUAACUCAUUCGGAAAAAAAGAUAUGUACAUACAAAACUAAUGAAGUAACUUCAGUAAAAAUUAAUAUGUUACCCAAGAUUUUGAGGGACUGUGAUUUUGAAGGGGUAUUACAUUUUUGUAAUGUUAACUUGACACAUUGGUGAGAAACACAAUUCGAAUAGAAUACACUAAAGCUGAGAAAACAGAACUUUGUUGAACAAUAAUUAACCGGCUAAGAACUUACAAUGUAUCAUGCCUUUGCUGUUAACAACUAUAUGCAGCAGUAUUUUUUUUAUAUUUAUAAUUAUCACUCAAACUAACUUUUUAGAAAGCAUACUAAUUAGUUAGAUAUUCAGGGAUGCAUUGAUAACAGUAAUCGCUAUCGUCUAGCCUUGCCUCCUGUCUGAUGCACUACAAGCAAAGGAUUCAAAACUACGUUUUCCUGUAAUGUAAAACAAUAAUACUUCAUGGAGAUCAUGUUUGCAUGUGCAUAUGGAAUUUAUCAAUAGUAGGUAGAAAAGUCCUAGCUAGCUUAGCUUAGCUUAGGAUAACGCCCUGGCAUCUAAACUGCUUCAUAUAUGCAAUCCAAUUGUAUGGGUCAAAUAUACAAAACCUGAAGCUCAUGGUCUAGAUGUUUCAUUGAUAAUAUCAUUUCCACCAGACUGGCGACCGAUUAUACAGUAGUCUACCUGUAUUGUUUAACACUGAGAUACCGCAUCAGCCAAAUCAUAGCACCUGAGGUGCCUCUUCUAGUGGACGGUGAGAGCAUAUCUGUAAUAAUCAUCCUUUGUAUAACAUUAUUUAUACCUCCAAAUGUUGCACCACACAUGUUCAUCUUUAGAGUCAAGCCCUAUUGCAGCGCAGGUUGUGCUUGGCCAGCACCUUCGUGAUGAACUUGCCAGUGACCACAGUGCAAGCAACUACCAGUACCCAGGAAGCCUCGACGAAGCCAAUGACGUACUGCUCUAUUUCGCGCCGGUCCCAUGUGGCCCACUUGUUUCCCUGAGCAUGUCGGUAUCGACAAAGGAACGAUAGUCGCUAGAUUAAAGGGAAGUGAGAUGGAAAGACACACUCGAGGAGGAAGAUGUUUAGGACUAUGUAUUUGCAUACUCUUUUGGAUCAAGGACGUGGGAUGUAAGUACGGUGUUUGCCUUUUUUUCUUUCUCUUUUUAGCUUUGAAGGGAUGUGUACAUGUUUUUUUUUAUGUCUACAUGCUUGAUUUUUUUUCCUCUGGAGGGAUAUGUACUUGUUUGUAUUUUUAAAAGGUUGGGGGAUCAUUCAUUUUGUACGCACUUGUUUUUUUUUCAAAUGUAUGUACGUGCCUGAUGGAUAUGUGUGGGGACGUUCUUUUUUAUAUAUGUGGGAUAUGUACGUGCNNNNNNNNNNNNNNNNNNNNNNNNNNNNNNNNNNNNNNNNNNNNNNNNNNNNNNNNNNNNNNNNNNNNNNNNNNNNNNNNNNNNNNNNNNNNNNNNNNNNNNNNNNNNNNNNNNNNNNNNNNNNNNNNNNNNNNNNNNNNNNNNNNNNNNNNNNNNNNNNNNNNNNNNNNNNNNNNNNNNNNNNNNNNNNNNNNNNNNNNNNNNNNNNNNNNNNNNNNNNNNNNNNNNNNNNNNNNNNNNNNNNNGUGCCUGAUGGAUAUGUGUGGGGACGUUCUUUUUUUUUUCCAUGAUGGAUGAACGAUGUGGGAUGUGUAUUUUUUUAUAUCUGGGGGGUACACUCUUUUUUAGUGUCCACCGGGUUAUGAAGAUCUAAGGCCUAUGAUUUAUUAGUACAGAGAAGUUCUAUUAAAUCAACCAUCGGAUACUUCUGAUUUUUAUAGAAUUUUUGAUCAUAUUUCUCUUUGUUAGUUAACCUGCUAUUUACUUUUAAUAUAUAGUAGAUACUAUAUAUGCAGUACGUGACCAUGUAUGAGUUUGUGAGGGAUUCUCUAUAUACACAUAUGUGCGUUUGUUUUUUCCUUAUGGAACAGAUGUGCAUGCACGUGCUUUCCAAUUAACAUGGUAGGCUUGCCAAAAAAAAUUAACGUGAUUCCUCACGCAACAUCUUUUUUUAUAGAAGAGCUCUGACAACCGAAUAAUCCAGGCUUUUUUUCUAGAUUGGAAAAUAUCUACGUGGGACAUGUGCCAUGUAAAUCCUUAGAGGCCCAUCAUAUUAUAUAUGUUACGUAAAUUGAACGGUCACGUAAUCUUAAUUUUAAGAGAUUUACCGGAUCGAGGGUUAUUAUUUUCUAAUUAAUGUGGAAUUUUAUAACCUAUUUCUCUCCCUUUUGGUUCACCGUAUAUUACUUUUAGUAUAUAAAAUAGAUGGUUUUUGGAACAUGGACUUUUUCCAAAUUUAUGAAUAAAAUUUGAAAACUAGAGCAAUUUUUGACUAUAUCAAGGUUUUUUUUUAACACAAACUUUUUUUGAAAUUUUAAAACACGAUUAUUAUUUUAAUACAACCUUUCUUAGAUUUCAAAACACGUUUUUAAUGAAUAUUUUCUUAAACCCUACCAAAAGUUGAAAAUUUGAACAUUUUCAAAAACACUCCGAAGUGUGGACAUUUUCUAAAAAACGUGAAAGGAUUUAGGAAAACUUCAAACUUUUUCAAAGCACGAAUAAUUUUUGGGAAAAAUGAAACAAAAUCAAAUUCCGAACAGUUUUUGAACAUUUUUUUAGAAAUGUUGAAUUUAUGAAAAAAAAGGAUAAAUUAUGAAAGAAACGAAAAUUGGUGAAGAAGAAAACAAGAGAAGGAAAAAAACUAAAAAAUAGUGUAAGAAAAAAACACCAAUACUAGCUACUUGGGAUGGUACAUAUGCGGUUUGCUCACUGCACAUUUCCUAAAUUUUUUUAGGGGUAAAAGCAAGUUUUAAUCAUCAAACACCAUAGAGUGUGGGAUAGAGUUGGGGUCGUGGAAUUGGUUAAACCCAACGCGGCGUCCCAGACCUAACGAAAGAGAAAGACUGGCUAGACUAUGUGCUUCGACAUUGAUAGCAUGACCUUUACAAGAAAAAUUACUAUCAAAUAAAGAUGGUUGCAACUUAAUCUCGUUGAUAAUGGCUCGUUUCCCACAUAGUUUGCUCACAGUUUUUGAGAGAAAAUUUAGCCUUGAUGGGCUGGGAAAUCGGGCCAACCAAUCUCAAGUGCGACCGACUCAUCUUUGUCCACUAGAAAGCCUGCCACGUCGCCCAAGAGCCAACCCUUAUCUUUUUUUUACAGGACCCGUAUAUGUUUUAUUCCUCCAGCAAGACCGGUCGCCGCCAAGCCUCUCUCGCCCGCUCGACAGCUCCCCCCGCUGCCGGGGCUAAGCCCUGGAUCCCCCCACCCCCAGGUUGCGAGCUUGUCCCAUCCCUCCCUCUCUUCUGCGUAGCCUCGCCCCACCUCGUCUUCUCCCCCACCGGUGCUUUGCCUAGUUUCUUGGAAAAAAACUCUCGAUAAAAUAUUGGAACUCUGAUAAAAUGUGCUUUCCUGAUUGCUACACUCGGCAAAAGGGGGUAUGCACUGCACUGUUUUGGUUGUCCAUAUUGCAUACGACCUCGGAUGAAGAUGAUCCCAAAAUCAAAGUUUAUCAUUUUGACAAGAUGAUUAAUUUUCAUGUUCAGAACUUUUCCAUUUUAAGCCAUGUUAUUUACACUUUGGGCAAUGCCAAAAUAUGGUCUCAAAUGAAUAUGGCGGUGGUCAUAUUUAUAGCAUAGUUUCUGACAAUGGGCCUAAAGUUGGCAUUUUGUUGCAUCUCGCCAUUACAAACAAUGAUGCCAAAUAGAGUUUCCAACAUUUUGUACAAAAACUAAUUUUCCCAUUUGCUAAGUGUAAAAAAUGGAUAUUUUAUGAAGCGGGUAAAAAAACAUAGUGCAAAAUGGCACCACCCCAAUUUACAUAAAAAGUAGACCACAUGUUUUAGAAAAUUCCCAGGUUUUGUGGAUCUUCUAGAUUUCUAGCUACUUUCCACAGUUAAAUUCAAAUUUGAACUUUAAGUCUGUGAUAGCUUUGUCCUAAAAAUUAGCAAAAAUGUAAUCUAUUUUUUUAGGUAUGCAAGUAGUCAUUUUAUGAAAUCACCACUUAAGUUUGAGAGAUUCAGGCCCUUGCCAUGACUAUCCAUGCCGGGCAUUUUGACCCCGUUUUGGAAAAAUGAAACAAAAAGGAUACAAGUUCAAAAAAAAUGCAAUCCAUUCGUAUGGACUCCUUUUAUGUGUACUAGCUAGGAUGAAAAUACCAAACUUCAAUAUGAAAACUUUGAAAGAAAAAUAUCCAUCACAAAACGGGCUAUCAUGUAUGAACCUUCACGGCUUUAAAGUCAAACGACCAAGGUGACGACAAUAUCCAUUCCAUAGUUUAUUAUAUUAUGCCCAAAUUAGACAUAUAGGUGAAUCAUGCCAUUGCAAAUAAUGUUGUAAAAUAGAGUUUCCAACUUUUUGUACAAAAAAUCAUUUACUAUUUUCUAAGUAUCAAAAAAAUGGGUGUUUCUUGUGAAGUGGGUUCAAAAAAUAGAGUGGAAAAUGGCACCACUCCAAUUUUCACAAAAAGUAGACCAUAUUAGAUGGACAAUUCCCAAGUUUUGUAGAUGUCUAGAUAAAAACUAACAAUUGGUGUAUUUUUUAAUAUUUAAUGAAAAUAAAAAACGGGCGAGAAUAUGACCAGGGGUGUAAACUGUGGAGGGGGCGCCGCACACGGCUAACAAUUGAUGUUGUGUGUUCUAGGCGCCCCCUUCCCCACAUAUAUAUAGGUGGGAGGGGAGGGGAGGCAGCCAGGGGGCACCCCAAGUAGGAUCUGAAUCCUACUUGGGGUUUCCCCAANNNNNNNNNNNNNNNNNNNNNNNNNNNNNNNNNNNNNNNNNNNNNNNNNNNNNNNNNNNNNNNNNNNNNNNNNNNNNNNNNNNNNNNNNNNNNNNNNNNNNNNNNNNNNNNNNNNNNNNNNNNNNNNNNNNNNNNNNNNNNNNNNNNNNNNNNNNNNNNNNNNNNNNNNNNNNNNNNNNNNNNNNNNNNNNNNNNNNNNNNNNNNNNNNNNNNNNNNNNNNNNNNNNNNNNNNNNNNNNNNNNNNNNNNNNNNNNNNNNNNNNNNNNNNNNNNNNNNNNNNNNNNNNNNNNNNNNNNNNNNNNNNNNNNNNNNNNNNNNNNNNNNNNNNNNNNNNNNNNNNNNNNNNNNNNNNNNNNNNNNNNNNNNNNNNNNNNNNNNNNNNNNNNNNNNNNNNNNNNNNNNNNNNNNNNNNNNNNNNNNNNNNNNNNNNNNNNNNNNNNNNNNNNNNNNNNNNNNNNNNNNNNNNNNNNNNNNNNNNNNCCCCCGGUACUCCUAUAAAUACCCGAUACAUUCGGGAACACUUCCGGUGUCCGAAUACUAUCAUCCUAUAUAUCAAUCUUUACCUGUCGACCAUUUCGAGAUUCCUCGGCAUGUCCAUGAUCUUAUUCGGGACUCCGAACAACAUUCGGUCACCAUAUCACAUAACUCAUAUAAUACAAUAUCAUUAUCGAACGUUAAGCAUGCGGACCCUACGGGUUCGAGAACUAUGUAGACAUGAUCGAGACACCUCUCCGGUCAAUAACCAAUAGCGGAACCUGGAUGCUCAUAUUUGAUCCUACAUAUUCUACGAAUAUCUUUAUCGGUCGAACCGUUAUGACAACAUACAUUAUUCCCUUUGUCUAUCGGUAUGUUACUUGCCCGAGAUUCGAUCGUCGGUAUCUGCAUACCUAGUUCAAUAUCAUUACUGGCAAGUCUCUUUACUCGUUUUGUAAUACAUCACCUCACUAACGGAUGGGUCUUGUCCAUCACAUCAUUCUUCUAAUGAUGUGAUCCCGUUAUCAAAUGACACCUCAUGUCCAUGGUUAGGAAACCUUAACUAUCUUUGAUCAACGAGCUAGUCAAGUAGAGGCUCACUAGGGACAUAGUGUUUGUCUAUGUAUUCACACACGUAUUGAGGUUUCCGAUCAAUACAAUUCUAGCAUGGAUAAUAAACAUUUAUCAUGAAUAAGGAAACAUAAAAUAAGAACUUUAUUAUUGCCUCUAGGGCAUAUUUCCUUCAAAUCAGUAUAUGUGUGCAUGCUUGGUUGUUAGUGAAAUGUUUUAUGUAUAUGUGUACAUGCUUGGUUGGGCCAACUUUGUGUAUUACAUUUUGUGAAAUACAAACUUGAUAUAUGCCACAUUUGUGUUAACGACCAAUAAGUAUAUACGUAACUAUAUUUUGCCUUCUUUUUCCUCCUCCACAAGAAAAGGUCCCAUGCUUUUCUCCUCCUCCAAUUGGCGCCGUAGCUAGUCCGCCCCAUCUUUGAUGGCCUUUGGGCCCUUUAGUACUGUACCGAACCAGCAGCCUUCGCGCCAAGCGACGACCGCCCUUGUCCCUUUCCUUUUUCCAUUCAGCCUACUUCUUAGCUUUGUUCUGUCAGUCUAAGGCAAAGCUUAAGUGGUUUGCCUACCUUACCCACUUGAUGAAAGGGAACGGACUUCAUUUCCUUGGCGGCUUUAUGGAUGGAUUCAGUCAGAAAAAACUCCUUCCUUUUGAAAAAAGUGACGCCACGAAGGUGAGUAGGACCUCAGGCCCUCGCUGGCGGGAGGGAACCUGUUCUCAUUCUUUUUUGGUUCAAUGUCUUGCUGGAGCGCUGUGUUGCGGCUAUGAUGUCUCUCAGUAGGAAUAAUGUUUCACAUGUUCUAUCCCUGUCUCGAUGGUGCCUCUAGCAUCAUCAUAGGGCAUGUGGAGGUGUGUCUCUAUCGGAUUUCGCAGGAUUCGGUCGGCAUUAGUCUUCGGUGGAUCUGUUUGGACACGGUCUAUGUUCAUCUUUGUGGUGUUUAUACUAUUGAUCCUUCCGAUCUAUGACUUUCUUCAUCGACGAUGGUUGCUGCUUCGGUGCGCUGGUCCUAUGGGUCCUUAGCACGUCAACUUCCUGACUAUUGACUACAACAAGGUUUGCCCGGCUCCAGCGAUCGGGGGGGGGGGUGAUGGCGAUGCACAGCUUUCUUUAGUGCUUGUAGUCAUCACUAGGUGGUCCAUGGACCUGGUUGUAAUUUUUUGUAUCUCUGGUGUUCUUUGUACUGCCAUGAUUGAAGAUGAAUAGAUUGGAAGUUUCUCACGCAAAAAUAACUAUAUAAAUAACUAUUUUAGCAAAAUUCGCAAAAAAAACUAUUUUAGCAAGUAAUAAAUUUUGACACCAAUUAUAUGGUAGUAAUUAAUAUUUACCCUAAUAAUAUCCGCAUUGGAUUCAGGUUUUAUACUAUGUAUACAAACGAGAGUAUGUUUGGAUAAUUGUGUGAACACAAGGAUAUAUCUUAGCAAAACUAUUUUUAGCAACAAGUAAAUGAAUUAAUAUAUGCUAGCUAUACUCUGCUGGUGAAAACAUGGUGUAUUAGUUGUACAAAGCAUGCAACACGGUUUCACUCCCCUUUAUAUUCCUGGGCGGAACACAAUUUCAGAUCCAAGUUUUAUGUUUGUCUACACAGUCCCAUCUUCUUCCCAUAUCAGCAGGAAAAUUCACUCCAAUCAUCUCGCCAUUCUACACUUGGGUAAUCAGGUUUGCUUCAAUCUACCAUCCUUGAAUAUAUGCCCCACAUCUUGUUUCUGCGUCCUAAUCUUAUUAAGCUUGUAAUUAGUAGUUAGUGCAAGAUCAAAAAGGAGCUAUGGACAAAACACCAUCCGCACCUGCUGAUAAAAUCACCAUAGGACAAGCGGUGCCUAAUCAUGAAAUAGCAGGAGAUUCAAGUGACAGUGAGAGAACAAUCAGUGAGGGUUAUGUGGGGAUCAUGUAUGGUGGUAGCCAAACCCACGAUGGCAACCUAGAAGGAGAAUCUGAUAUGGUAUUGCUAGCAACAGAUUCAAGUGACAGCGAGAGAACAACCAGUGAGGGUUAUGUGGGGAUCCUGUAUGGUGGUAGCCAAAUCCAGGAUGGAGACCUGGAGGGAGAAUCGGCUAUGGUAUUGCCUGCUGUAGGAGAGAAUACCACGGCGAGAUCUAACAGUCAUGGUUAUACGCGUAGCUUGGAAAUUGAUUCUACCUCUCGUAGUGAGAGGCAUGCUGCCAGGUCAGAUUCUGUUCUAGUGGCACAACGCCGAGACUGCAUACAAAUUUACCCUGAGUGGCUGGAGAAAAUUGAUUCAGGCAAAAAGAUGUGGACAGCUCUCAACCAAUUUCGAGCAAAUGGGAAGCACGAAGAGGUUAGUAUAUACACAUGUUCUGGUGUGCUCUCUCAUCAAAUAAUUUUCAUUGUGGGUUAAUCAUCUCAUAACAUAAGGAGUGUUUGCUUGAUGGGCAUUCAGACCAAAUGAUGAACGAAUUAGAUCCUAGGUUCUCCAAAAGAUGACAUUGUGUUUUGCUUCCGUUACCUCAUAGAUUUUCAGCCUUUGCGUCAAAAUGAUUUUAUGCAUUUGUUUUCGCACUAACUUGUAUUUUUUAAGCACAACCAUCCAUAUAUGUAAAAAAACUCAUGGCCACGUGUGAUUGAUAGAAAUCAGUUAACAUCUCAAUUUCCUCAUGUGCUAUUGUAUGACUACGGAGGUUUUUCUAACAUGAUCCUUCUUACCUCCCCUUUUCACAUGAGACGUAAGAGUAUAAAGUAAAUCUGAGCCAUUGACUGCAUUAAGUAGUAAACUUGACUAAAUCUUACCUUCUUAACUCCCAUGUGAAAAGAUGGGGUAAGAGGAAGCAUGUUAAAAUGCCUCAUGAAUGUGGUGCUGCCGCCAGUGGCAGAGCUUGAGCAUAAUCCAAGAGGGCCAUUACUUGAAGGGGGGGAAAUUAGAAGGGAAUGAGGGGAAAAUAUCUAGUUUAAACACUAGUUAGGCUUAAAAUAUAGUAUAUUCAUUGAUGGGUGCAAAAAUUAAGGGGGGCCAUGGCCCCUGUUGGUCUACAUGAAGCUCCGCCACUUGCUGCCGCACAUUCUGUAGUGUUGUUAUAGACACUGACUGACUCUUGUUUUUGCACUAUAUCCAAAUGUACUAGCAGUCAUAAGACACCAAUCUGUCAGGAUCUCGGCUUUUGGCCUUCUGCUAGAAUGCACUAAAGAUAUUGAUAAGUCUCGCCAUUCCUGGAUGUUGCGAAGGUUACCUGACUGGAACAGAUUGUUCUGGAGAAGGAUAUGGAGGCGCGGCAAACCUAAAGCAGCGACGAUGCAACAAAUGGAAUGUGAUCGAGAAUGGUAUUAUCUACAGGAGCACACCAGAGAGCAUACAAAUUAGGGUCUGCAUGGACGACCAAAACAGAUGGCAUUUUUUUAUCAACUAGCCCAUCCUUUUUUCUUUGAUCUACUAACAUUGGUUGCCAUUUCGGGCUUUUGGGCCAACCUUCGGGCGAGAAAUUGAAGCCCAAGCCUACCCCAGAUGUCGGGCUUUGGGUCAGGCCUCUGGGCCGGGUAGUCCAUGAACAGGUUUAGUUUGAUCUAUUCACUCACAUUUUGAUCCUCGUUCAUUAUAGCAUUUAACCAUAAUUCAUAUGAACAUGCACCACGAGAAUAUAAUAAAGGAAAUGCAUGGGUCAAUUUGUAGUACACAACGCCUUAUUGUGCGAUAUCACAAGAACAUUUUUCACCUUGAUUACAGUAGUAACUACUGUGCAAUCUUAUAUAUCAAAUCAUAUAUUAUAUGACAAAUUAAGUAUAUUUUUUUGCUUAUUUCAGUAUUACCUUCAUAAGGAAUAUAGUCACAAAUUUUGCUCCAAACGCAACGUUAUUGAGUUCAUACGAAAUGGAACUGUGAAAGGGAAGUCGGUUCAGAAGGUGCCUAAAUACUUGACUUUCAAACAUAUAGUAAUUAUGCGAAGAUGUAUAUGUUUUUUGUAUUAAAUUUAAAGUAUUAAUUUGACACGGAAUCCUAUUUUUGCACAGAGAUCAUCUGAUACUUCUACGAACAAUCUUCAUGGUAUGUCCAGUUGGCCCCAUGCAUUUGGAUAUUAUUUUGUCUACUAUUAUUACUAUAGAGAGAAAUCUAACUGAAACUGAAAUAUAAUAAAUAUUCAUGGAGAGAAAAAUAGACAUUAAUGUCCACAUACACAACAAAAUUAACCAGUAUUGUCCUAGUUUACAUGAAUUAAUAUUUGCAAUGACAAUUAGGUUACUCAUGACAUGAUAAAGAAAAAGUUUUUUGUGAGGUAAGAUAAGGUUUUAUAUAACUGUUCAUGGGGACCUCCUCAUGGUUGCAGAUACAUAGUAUUAUAGUGCUUCAUGAAAUAGUUGCAUAUCACCAUGUCUAAAAGAAGAAUCAUGACGGACACAACUUCAAGAAAUUCUUCUUGUCAAAUAACAUGAUUUGUAUAUACCUCAUAGAGGAUGUAACUUGUUGGUAGAAUUUAAUAUUGUGACACACUCGCCAUCUUUUGUGCCAGCAUUAUUUGGGUGAUGAUUUAAUAUCCAAAAGCAUACAUCAAGGUAGUUAUGUGCAAUGAUAUUCUUGUGAAAAUAACUUCCAUAGUGUAUACUUGCAUAUAUGUAUUGCUCUAUUGUAUUCUCACACUUAAUCCUUUUUCUUAAUUUUUUGUUUGCUUAUUUAU
rnacentral:lncRNA from 1 species